ACGCCUUCAGCUUUUUGAUAUUAUGCAUAGCAAAAAAGAUAGAUCUCCUAUGACAUUCGAAGCUGGAGAAAUUAUGAUAUAUUUACUUAAUAAAAUUUGAUUUAUUAUAAAUAUUUAUAAUGUUUAAUUAUAAUGGUUUAAUUCAUCAUUAGUAGUUUUAAAUAAUGUUAAGUUAUGUUGCAUUCCUUUUUAUUAUAUAUUUUGUUUCUAACUCUUUAAUUGAUUUUUUAGGAGAAACUAAAGGAGAAGAAGGCGGAGUAUGAAGCGAUUGCUUCAACUGAUAGUUCUGUUAAUCUUAAGAACAUUGAUAAUAGAAUUAUCACUGAUGUUUUGGGUCCUGAAAGGUCGGUCGGGUUCAAUUUCAAGGAUCUGGUGUUACCUCGACCCAAUAUUUUAGAUCCGGCUCCCAACAAUACAUGCCUUUUGGGAUUCAAGCUCAAGCUGAAGUUCAGAGGUUAAGAGACCAGAUAGCUUAGAUGCAAGUGAACACGGUUGAGUAAAUUGUCGAGGUUCAAAGAAAAUAUGAAGAACUCCAACAACAACUUAGAGCGGAGGCAGCAGAGAGGGAGGCAGCGGUGGCAGCGAUGAAGGCAGAGGCAGCAGCGAUGGCAGUAGAGCAAAGCAAAACGUACGAUGAACUCCAGCUACAACUUCAGUAAAUGAUGCAGAUGUUACAGCAGUCGCAAAAGCCACCAUCUUAGACAUUAGUUUUCUCCUUGUAAGAAUGUUUUUAACAUUGUCACAUUUAACAUUAUUGUAAGAAUAUUACUUAAUUUAUUAAUUAUAUCAUAGAUCUUUCGUUGAAUUUGAAGUAUCAUUUAGAUUUAAUGUUUUUUAUUGUAUUUUUAUGCUACAUUUGUUGUUUUUGGUUGGAUUUCAUGCUAUAUUUACUGUUUUUGGUUGGAUUUAAUGCAAGAAGGGUUGGAUAUUGGUGAAAAAUGUACAUUUCAAAUCUGCUAAAAUUAGCGGCCUUUGUGAAAAAAGCGCUGCUAAAAGUCAUGGCUUUUAGUGGCGCUUUCCCAAAAAAUGCCGCUAAAAGUCAUGGCUUUUAGCAGCGCUUUUCUCACAAACGCCGCUAAAAGUUAUUGCCUUUAGCGGCACUUCCCCAACAAACGCCGCUAAAAGCCCUUUAGCGGCGCUUCCCCAACAAAAGCCUUUAAAAGCCCUUUAGCGGCGCUUCCCCAACAAACGCCGCUAAAGGUCAUGACUUUUAGCGGCGCUUUUCUCACAAACGCCGCUAAAAGUCUUGAUCUUUUGUUGCGUUUUUUUUUUCAAAUAAACGCUGCAAAAUUUGGUGGCGGUUCCUAUAGAGGUAUUUUUUGCAGCGCUUGGGAAAAACGCCGCUAAUAGUUUCUGUGGCGCUUAAAAGCGCCGUUAAAGGCUAAAAAAAUGCUGCUAAAAGUUUGUUUUCUUGUAGUGAUUCUAAGUGGUUCAACGGAUAAUUUAACGAGUAUGUCAAAGAAGAGAAAGAGCAUGUAUGUUUUACGAAUUUGUACAGGUAUGUACAUAAAGUUUAUAAGCAUUGACUUCAUGAUAUUGUGAGUUUAUGGUUUCUAUGAGAAUAUUUUUGUGAAAAGUCUUGUGAUUAUUGAUCUAUACUUGUGAUGUACGAAAUAUAUGGUAAGUUCGGUUGGCGAUCGUGUAAUUGGCUUUUGGGCCAAAUUGAGUUAUGAUCUAGCAUGUUUUAUUCGCAUGAACUGUGAUUCAUCAGAUAUGAGAAAGAGGAAAGAUUGACGUAAUUGCCUAUUAAAAUGAUUAUGGGAAGAUAUGAGCUUUGGACAAUUGAAAGAUGUUAAAAUAAUGCUUGAAAUGUGAAUACUCAUUAUUAAUGUGCAUGUUAUUAUGAGGUUUGAAAUGAUUGGUUGAUUGCGGUAAUCUGUUAUAAUGGAAAGAUUACCAUUAUUAGGCUAAUGCCAAAAUUUGUUAAAUUAUGCUUAUAAGUUGAUAGAGUAAACAUCAUGAUUGAAUAAAAUUAUAACUAUGAGAUUUAUAGCAAUUGGAAUUAUUUUGUGUUUAAAUUGUUGAACUUGAUAAAUUCCUAAUAAGAGUUGCUUAUUAUUUUCAUGUGGACUUACUAAGCUAUAUAGCUUAUCCCCUUCCUUUCCUAUGUUUUAUAAUGUCGUCAAGCUAGCUUGGGUUGGAGAUCGCUGGAGAUCCUAUCACACUAUCAAGCUAUCAAUUUUGGGUAUUGAUGAAUUCAAGUAUUUUGAGUUUAUGGCAUGUACAAGUACUUGGUCUUUUAGGUCAUAUGUGCCAUUAUGACUUUAGCCAAUGUAUUGACUUGUAAGAGUCAAAGGUUUGUUUUGAUAUUUGACCAUGUAAAUUGGCUUAUUUGGCUAACAUGGUUGUAAGCCUAAGUAUAUUCAUAUGUAUGUCAAUGCCUUUGGUGAUAUGAUCAUGGUAUGCAUAGUGAAUGUGAAUUGUUUGGAAAUGUGAUUUAUGACAUGAAUGUGAAUGUUUAGUAAUGUGGUCUAUUGAUGGGAUGAUAAAUUUGUGUGUACAAUAAGGUAACUAGAAAGUAGCUAAAUGAAGCCUAAUGAAGGUGAAAUUGACAUGAAUGAUUUAUGGCAUGAUAAAUGUUAUGUGUAUGAUAAAUGUUGAUAUGGUAUUGGUAUGUGAUGUUCAUAAUUUUGAAUGGUUUGGUUGAUCUUACAUGCUUGAAUUUGUGCCAUGUGAUGUUGUGUAGAUGUGUGCAAGUGAGGAUGGCAAAAUGGCUUGGUAAAUAGCCUUAUUUUUGUCUACACGGGCGUGUGUAUAAGCCGUUUGUGACACAUGAUUAGCCCCAUGGGUGUGUGAUCCGGCCGUGUGUCCCCUACACAUAAAUUGUUGCAAAAUAAAAUGCUCAAUAUCGAGCACACGAGCAUGAGACACAGCUGUGUGUCUCAGCCGUGUGAAGGACACGGCCACGGGACACGGACGUGUGUCUUGGCCGUAUGACUUUAAUUUGUUCUUGGAUGACAAACAGAGAGUUACACGGGUUAGGGACACAAGCGUGUGUGACCACAUGGUCUGCCCACACGGGCGUGUCCCAAGCCACACGAACAUAAAAAAUUUUCUAAGUGUUGUAAAAUUUUCCAAAGUUUUCGGUUUAGUCCUAAACCACUUCCAAUAUAUGUUUGGGGCAUCGUAUGCUCGUUCCAGGGACGAUAUGAGUGUAAAUGAAAAGUUUUAAAUUUGGAUGGAAGUUUAUGUCUUGAUUUUGUAUGUUUGCUUACGUUUAAGUCUAGUAAUACCUCGUACCCUGUUCUGGCUUCGAAUACGGGUAAGGGGUGUUACAAAUCGCGUGGAGCGUCAAAGUAAAAACUGAGAGAGAGGCAAGAAUUAGAGAGGGGCACCAGUUCUAUUUGUAAAGAAAAAGGAUAGUACCAUAAGGAUGUGCAUCGAUUAUCGACAGUUGAAUAUGUUAACUUUGAAGAAUAAGUACCCACUUCCGAGGAUCGAUGAUCUGUUUGAUCAGUUUUUUGGGGUUGCUAUAUUCUCGAAAAUAGAUCUCUAAUCUGGGUAUCAUCAGCUUAGGGUUAAGGAAGCUAAUAUUCAGAAGACGAAUUUUAGGACUCAUUAUGGGCACUAAGAGUUUCUAGUUAUGCCUUUCGAUUUGACGAAUGCUCUGGCUACAUUCUUAGAUCUGAUGAACUGAGUUUUUAAGCUAUAUCUGUAUCAAUUCGUCGUCGUCUUCAUGACGAUAUUCUAGUGUACUCUAAGACUGAGGUUGAGCAUGAUGAGCAUUUUAAAGUUUCGAGCGAAGCAGCUCUAUGCUAAGUUGAGCAAAUGUGAAUUCUGGUUACGGGAAGUAAUAUUUUUGGGGCACAUAGUUUUUGUGGAAGGGAUUCGCGUUGAUACUAGGAAGAUUGAGGUUGUGCUUAAUUGGAAACAAUCUAAGAACAUUUUUGAGAUCCAUAGUUUUUUGGUUCUUGCGGGUUACUAUCGGAGGUUUGUUGAGGGGUUCCCACUGAUUGUAGCUUCUCUAACUAAUCUUCUACGCAAGAAUGUUCCUUUCGUCUGGACUGAUGUGUAACAUUGAGCUUCGAGAAGCUCAAGUUUGUUUUGACUCAGAUUCCUGUUUUGAGACAGCCUAAAUAUGGUAAGGAGUUUAUAGUGUACUGUGAUGCAUCGCAUGUCAUUCUAGAGUGUGUACUAAUGCAAGAUGGUAAGGUUGUGGCUUAUGCGUCCUGGCAGCUGAAGUCACACGAAAGAAAUUAUCUGACGCAUGAUCUCGAGUUAGCUGCAAUGGUGUUUGUGUUAAAGAUCUAGAGGUACUAUCUGUAUGGUGAGAGGUGUAUUAUCUACACCGAUCACAAAAGCAUAAAGUACCUCCUUACUCAAAAGGAGUUGAGUCUUAGGCAGCGUCGAUGGAUUGAGCUACUCAAAGGUUAUGACUACACGAUAGAGUAUUAUCCCGAUAAGGCCAAUACAGUGGCUGAUGCCCUUAAUCAUAGAGCGAUGACUGAUUUGAGGGCAAUGUUCGCUCGUCUCAGUUUGUUUGAUGAUGGGGUCUGUUAGCCGAGUUGCAAGUUAAGCCGACUUGGAUUGGACAGAUUCGAGAAAUACAGUUAGGGGAUGAGUCUCUGAGUCUGCGAUUUCGUUAGGUUGAAAGUGAUAGUACAUCUGAUUUUGGAUUGAAUAAAGAUGGAGUUCUAUGUUUCCGAGGACGAGUUUGUGUACUAAACAAUUUUGAUUUGAGACAAUCGAUUUUGAGGGAGGCGUAUAGUAGCCUUUAUGUUAUCCAUCCCGGUGGUAAUAAGAUGUAUCGGGAUCUCUGUGAACUGUACUAGUGGCUGGGUUUGAAACGAGAGCUAACGAAUUUUGUUGCUCAUUGUUUGAUGUGCCAGCAAGUUAAGGCUGAGCAUCAAUUACCUUCGGGUUUGCUCCAACGCAUCAAAAUUCCCUUAUGGAAAUGGGAACGUGUGACGAUGGACUUCGUUAGUGGGCUGCCUUUAACAUCCACUAAGAGGGAUACUGUUUGGGUCAUCAUGGAUCGAUUGACCAAGUCCGCUCAUUUUAUUUCGGUUCGAACGAACUACUUUCUACACAAGAUAGCGAAGCUCUACAUUUCUGAUAUUGUAAUACUGCACAGGGUUUCGAUUUCGAUAAUAUUUGAUAGGGAUCCUCACUUCACUUCUCAAUUUUGGAAGAAACUGCAUGAAGCUCUAGGGUUGAGAUUGGACUUCAGUACUUCGUUCCAUCCUCAGAUCGAUAGUCAAUCUGAGAAAGUGAUUCAGAUACUGGAGGAUAUGCUUCGGAGUUGUGUGAUUGAUUUUUGAGGUAGUUGGGAAGAUUUUUUGCUUUUAGCUGAGUUUGCCUACAAUAAUAGUUUCCGAUCUAGUAUCUAGAUGGCACCUUACGAGGCUUAGUGUCGUACUUCACUAUGCUAGACUGAGUUAGGUGAACGAUGGGUUUUGGGUCCUGAAUUGAUUUCUGAGACUGAAGAUGAAGUAAGAUUGAUACGGGAUUAUCUUAAGACAGCUUCUAGUAAACAUAAGUCUUAUGCGAAUUUGAUAGGGAGGGAUAUUGAGUACUCUGUGGGUGAUUUCGUAUUUCUUAAGAUAUCUCGUUGGAAGAAAAUUCUAAGGUUCGGUUGUUAGGGCAAGUUGAGCCCUAAGUUCAUUGGGUCGUAUCAGAUUCUGAAGCGUGCAAGACCAGUUGCUUAUCAGUUAGAGCUACCUCUAGGGUUAGAUCGUAUCCAUGAUGUAUUUUACAUCUCGAUGUUGAGACGGUAUCAAUCUGGUCUAUUUUACGUUGUCUCUAUUGAAGAGAUCGAGGUUAGACCGGACUUAACGUUUGAGGAAGAGCCGAUUCAAAUUUUGGAUCGAGAUAUUAACGUUCUGAGGAGGAAGUCCAUACCGUUAGUGAAGGUUUUGUGGCAGAAUCAUAGCACCGAGGAGGCCACGUAGGAAGUUGAGGACACGAUGUGUCAACAGUAUACCCAUAUGUUCAGAUCAGGUAAAUUAUGAGGCCAAAAUUUCUUUUAGGGGGUAGAGUUGUAACGCCCUGAAUAAUAUGUCUGUUUUUGUAAAAUUUGACAUAAAUAUGUAUCUGCUUCACUGGCUAAGUGUUUUAAUUGUGUGUUUGAGGUAUUGGGUUCAAGUCCGACAUUCAGAAAAUUUUGUUAUUUUUUAUCCAAGCCUUAUCCCUAUUGGGUGGGCUUAUAUAAUAUUGUUUGUAAACUCAUAUCAGAGUGAGCCUGUUGGAUCGAGUGGUAAGGAGUUAGCUUGCCUAAGGUCUCGUGUUUGAAUCCUCGUGCGAGUGUGGAUGUAAAUUUUUGUCUUGGCUGUUUGACAGAGUUUCGGUGGGCUUGGAAUUCUGAAAUGGUUGGUUUGGGUUAGUGUAGUAGUGGGGAGUGAGAGAGAUUUUAAGGGUGUGUUAUAAAAAAAUUAAUUUCAGUUAAAAAUCUUUUAUUUUCUUCCCCCCCAAAAAAAACUCUCUCUUUCUGACGUUACUAUACUCUUCUUCUGUCAAUUUUUCCUUCUUUAUUCCUUUUUAAUUCCUGUCGAAAUUUCCUCUUCUAAUCUCAGUGUUUUACUUUUUUUUUUGUCGUACGAUUUUGAAGGUAAGGGUUCGUCGUGGUGUUGUGGGGGUCUUAAUUUUUUUACUUUUGUUCUUGUUGAUGUUUGAGUUAAUCCGGUAUAUCGUUUUGGUAGGUGCUCUUCAGGAAAACUGAGACCCUUCAGUUGUGUAGUGAAGUUUCGAGGCUGCUAUUGUCAAGAGUAAGCUUUUGGAUCGUUUUAGUGCAAUUUUCUAUUGUGUUUUUCAAGUUGUGCCCAAGAGGUGUCUCGGUUGGAUUUGUGAAUUAAAGUUAAUUAUGGCUGUUUUGGUUGGCAAUUUUAGGUGCUGUUCACUCCAGGGAUGUAAUGUAACACCCCUUACCCAUAUUUAACGCCAGAAUAGGGUACGAGGCAUUAUCGGACUUACAUUGCAACCGAACAUACAAAUCGAGUCAAAAAUUUGGACCCAAAUUAAAACCAUUUGUAUUCAAUCAUAAAGUCCCUAAUACGAGCCUACGAGGCCCAAAACAUGUUUCGAAAGUGGUUCGGGACUACAUCGAUAACUCAGGAAAUUUUCACAAAACUUAGAAAUUUUUUGCCAUGUACAGGGGUCACACGCCCGUGUGGUUUGGGACACGCCCGUGUGGUUUGGGACACGCCCGUGUGGUCACACACGCCCAUGUCCCUAACCUAUGUAACUCUCUAUUUUGCAAUGCAUGAACAAAUUGAAGUCACACGGCCGAGUCACACGCCCGUGUGCUAGGUCGUGUGGUUAAUUAAUUUUUCAUAAAAUAGAUGCAGACUUCAGACGGCUAGGACACACACCCAUGUUCGAGGCCAUGUCCCUCACAUGGUUGAGACACAUGCCUGUGUCUCUACCUGUGUGCUCAAUUCUGAGCAUUCUGUUUCUCAAAAUUAAGGUGUAGGGGACACAUGGCCAAAACACAUGCCCAUGGGACAGGCCGUCUGUAAGACACAUGGGCGUGUGUCUAUCUAUGUGGACAAAAUAAGGACUAUUUACCAAGCCAUUUUCCACCCUCAUUUUCACAUACAUAUACACAAAUUUAAUGACAUAAAUCAUGGUAUACUUAGGCAACCAAAACAUCUACAAUCAUGAGCAACACAUGUCAAUGCAAUACCUUUAUCUAUCAUGCUCAUGACAUUCCAUUAUGCCAAAUCAAACAUACCAAUUUCACAUUCAAAAACACCUCUAAGGCUACUUUCAAUUUGUAUUAACUUAUCAAGAUAAUCCAUCAUACCAAUAAACCAAACUCAUCCAUUCCACAACAAGUCAUUAAGCCACAAUCAACAUUUAGCAAAUCAAUAUAAACCAUAUCACCAAAGGGGCAUUGGCACAUACAUGUAUAUAUAUAUGAGCUUACAGACAAUUUAACCAAAAGGAGCCCAUUUACAUGGACAAAUACCAAAUCAAGCCCUUGACAAUUACAAGCUAAUACAUUUGGCCAAAAUCACGAUGACACAUAUAACAAAAUGACCAAUUCCCUAUACAUGCCAUACACUCAAAAUGUUUAAGAUCAUCGAUACCCAAAAUGACAGUUUGAUAGUGUGAUGCGAUCUCUGAGAAUUCUAAAUCCGAGCUAGCUUGGUGACACUAUAAACAUGGAAAGUAAAACAGAGUAAGCUAUAUAGCUUAGUAAGCUCGUAUGAAAGAAAUAAGAAAAUCUUACCAUACAUUUAACAUUCAAGUAAUAUAAUAUAAGGUAAUGUAAUUUACCAUAAUCUCAUGACUAUAAUUCAUUCCAUCACAGCUUACCUUGAAAUCUUCAUUUCUCGAAUUUAGUAAUAUAAGCUUUAGGUACAUACCUGUACCAUCUCGUAAUAAUUUCAUACUUAUUCUCAUUGUUGACAAACCCAAUGAACCACUCGAAAUAAUAAUAGCGGAUACUCGGGAAACCUUUCAUACAAGGUGUCACAUAUGUAGCCAUUGCUAUCUCUAUCUCAUAACACAUAUGCUCGCUCUCGAGCCACCAACGGGCCUUCUCACACAAGCUGUCAGUUAAGACGUAGCUACACGACACUGCUCACACAAGCUGUCAAGUAACUGCAACAUAUGCUGGUAUACUCAGCCACCGGUAAGACGUAUAGGACCAGCACCCGGAUCACAUAACAUAAUACCCUAGUGACAUGUCACUUGUAUCCUAAUCUAUUCUUAAGGUUCAAUUGGGAUUUCUCGCUUUCCAAAACGUCGCCGAACGUGUCCGCAGAUUCAUUUACACAAUUUACACAAAAUUAAAGCAUUUAAAAUACAAUUAUAACAAAGCUUAGUUACAUACAAACUUACCUCGGUUACAAAAACAGAAAAAAAAAGAUCUAUUCGUCAAUUACUUUGUUUUUCCCCCGAUCUAGAUCUGAACUUUAUUUUUCUUGAUCUAUAAUAGCACAUUUAACUCAUUUAAUCAUCAAGCUAUUCAAUUCAGCCCAAAAUCACAUUAUGGCAAAAAAUACAUUUUGCCCCUAAUAUUUCAACAUUUUACAAUUUAGUCCCUAGGCUCGUAAAAAUGAAUUUCUUUCAAUUUCUUUCCAACUCAAGCCUAGCCGAACCUUACCCUUACUCACAACAAACCAAAAUUUAAAUUUAUUCACACUCUACCACACAUAUUUUAACACUUUACAAAUAAGUCCCUAUUUGAUAUUUUUACUGAAAAUCACUUUACAAAUGUUGUUUAACAAACAACAAACAUGCAUUUUCUACCAUCAAACAUCAAAAUACAAGCAUUUUCAACAUGGAUAAAAUUUUAGACUUUAAAUAUAUUUCAGAUUAGUCCUUGAAAUAAAUAGAUCAAGUUACAGCGAUAUCAAAAGUAUAAAAAUCAUUAAAAAUGAGAUAAGAAUGGACUUACAAUUGAGCUUGAAAGCUUGGCCAAAAACCCUUGCUAUGUCUUCUCCUAAUUUCCGACUAUGGAGGAAGAAGAUGAACAAAAUUUUGGCCUUAUUUUACUUAUUAAUCCAUUUAAUGACCAAUUUACUAAAAUACCCUUAAUGAAAAAUAUUAAAAACAUACUUAACGAUGUCCAUAUUUGUCCACCAAUUUAAAAAAUGGUCUAAUUACCAUUUAAGGACCUCCAAUUUAAAAUUUUAUAGCAAUUUGAAACCUUUAAUAUAUAGAAUUUAAGUUUUGCACCUAUUGCAAUUUAGUCCUUCUAGUCAAAUUGAGUACUCAAUCAAUAAAAUUUCUUAACGAAAUUUUCACACAAUUAUUCUAUCGUGCUGUAGACCUUAAAAUAGUAAUAAAAUAAAUAUUUCCACUUUGAAUUUGUGGUCUCAAAACCACUAUUCUGAUUUAACCCUAAAAUGGGCUGUUACAUGUGAAUUCUUCCAAAACGAACCAGCUGUGUACCCUAAACACAAAAAACAAAGGUUCUGAAAAAGCUGAAAAAGGACACUAUCGACGGCACACAGUUGUGUGGUCGGCCGUGUGGGAGACACAGUUGUGUGAUUGUCGUAAGUGUGGUUGUGUGCAAGACACGGCUGUGUGACAGCGAAUGUGUGGCUGUGUGGGCCACAUAGGCUAGGCCGGAUUGGGCGUGUUGGUUUUGGGCCAGUCCAUGUUGGCCACACAGGCAAGGCCAAUUUGGGUGUGUGGGCCCAUACAGACAAACCACAAAGGCUUGUGGACCCAAAAUUCUAAAAUUUUCCCAAAGGUCGCACGAGUCGUUCCGAUCGACUGUGGACCUACUGUAGGGUCGAUAAGGGCCAAUCAAACCCUAUUUCAUGUGAUUUAAUAUUCUGAUAACUUGAUCUGAGUAGGAUGUUGAUAUGUAUGUCUGAUUGCACUGUUUAAGUUUGUAUGUUAUCCGUAUACGAGUGGGUUAAGCAUGUUAAAUCUAUUGUUUAUGUAUCCGUAUUUUGUGUCUGUGUUUGGGGUGAGAUUUGCAUAUGUGGAGGAAGUGAUCUGUAUGGUGACCUUUUGCCUAUUAUCUGAUAGCUUGGUUGUAUAUUAUCUAUUAUGUGUCAUAUCAACACUAUAUGGUAUGUAGAGUUGGGUGGGUGUUUUUAACCCCAUAUGGUGUGAUGGGAAGGACGGAGAUGGUGUGUAGAGGAUAGGGGUAAGAUUCUGUAUAUCUGUUCUGUACAUUUGAUUUUUAUAUUUGUAUCUAUUAAGGAUUUAGGUCCGAUUCUAUUUCUAUAGGCAUUUGAGAUUCUGUGAAUGUUGCAUGGCUAUAUCUAUUGGGUUACACACUGAGUUUACGAAAACUCACAUAUGUUUGUCUGUACUAUUCAAGUAAUCCACAAACUUAGGCGGGUCGGUGCGAUGGAGGUUCAGCGGUUACCACUCGACAGAGAACUAUUAUUAUUUAGUAAUAACGGUUUUAUUUUAAAAUCUGGUUUUUCUUGAGAUUUUAUAAUUUUUGAGACUCUCUGGACUGUAUGGUUUUAACUUUUGGAUUUGGAUUUUGUUUUGCUUUCUUUUCUGCAAUGUUGACAAAAACAUUUUAUGCAAACAAAUGGUUUUAACAAAUGGUUUUUGGAAACACGAGCUUGGUUUCGAAUAAAACGAUUUUCAAACUUAUGCUGCAAAUUCUUGAUAAAUUAAAAUGGCUUCAAAUAAGAUUAUAAGCUCAAGUUUUUCCAGAUAUUAAGACUUCGAUUGGUAAACUAAUAAAACGAUAUGUUUUAACUUAAAAGACGUAAUUUAAAACCCUUCUUCGUAACACUCCCAGAUUCGACCAUAACGUCUAGGUCGGGCUAGGGGAGUUACAUUUAAAGCUAAUUGCCCCUAAUUUUUUUUAGUUAAAGCCACCACAUGUCACAAUGACGGCGUGAGAUGUGGCAAAAAAAUUAGAAAAAAUAAAAAUAAAUAAAAGUUAUAAAAAUUAUUAAAUUUUAAUAAAAAUAUAAAAAAUAUUUAAAAUUAUAAAAAAAUUAAAAAAAACGUAAAAAAUUAUAAAAUAUAGAAAAAAAUUAUGAAAUUUUUUAAAGUAAUAAGAAAAUUAUAAAAAAAUGUAAAGAAAUAUAAAAUUAAUAAAAAAUUAUAAAAAUUAUCGUACCAAAAGAAGCAUUUUAUAAAUUUUCUAUAAAUUUUAUGAUUUUUAUUUUUUAUCAUUUUUUGCCACAUGUUACUUUGUGUUGCGACACGUGAUGGCUUUAAUUGAAAAACUAAAGGUCGUUAACUUUAAUGGUCAACGGUUAAAGUUAAUGACUAAAGAGCAUUUUUUAUGUAUUUUAUAAUUUUUUUAUGAUUUUUAUAAAAUUUUACAAUUUUUUUUAUUUUUUUACGAUUUUUAUAUUUUAUUCCAAUUUUUAUUAUUUUUUAUUAAAUUUUAAUAAUUUUUAUAAUUUUUAUUGAUUUUUAUUUUUUACAAUUUUUUUCACAUGUCACGCUGUGAUUGUGACACGGGGUGAAUUUAAUUGAAAAAAAUUAGGGGCAGCUAAGUUUAACGGUCAACUGUGAAAAUUUAUGGUCAAAGGGCCUUUUUAAUUCAUUUUGGCAAUUGAACGAAAAAAAAAAACUUAAUUGCUUUUUUUUGAAAAAGUUUGAAUGCUUUUUUGAUGUAUUUUGGCAGCUCAAGUAUCUAGUUGAGUGAAAAAAAGUAGUGGCUUAAAUUUUUUUGUUAAAGUUUGAGGGUUUUUUACACCCUUAAGCCAAAUAUCAAUAACUCCCAAAGGCUGGAAAUUGAAAAGCAAACUCUACCAAAAUUAUAAUUUAUUUGGAAUAAUAAAUCUCACUAAAUUUUGAUAUAGUACUAAUGCUUAGUAUGAUGUGGAUUUGACCUAGCCAAUUGUUUCUAUUUAUAGAGAAAAUCACAAGUCUUAGUUGAAAAAGAAGAAGAAGAAUAAUAUUUUAACAAAACCAUAUAGUCUUACUAGUCCCUAGGACGAAUAGGGGUGGGUGGCGUACACUCCCUUUGGGAACCUUGUGUGCUUGCCCAUCCUACAUAUUCUAGAUUUGCCAAUCUUUUUCAUGUAUUGGAUUUAAUUAUAUAUGUUAUUUGAUAUUAUUCCUAAAAUAUUAUUUAUUUAGUUAAUUAAAAUAAAUUUAAUUAAUUUCCUAAUUAAAUUAUUUUCUCAACCUAAUUCUAACCUUGUUAAAAUCAUGACGACUUUAUUGUACUAGAAUAUGAGUAACUAAAUUUAAUUACGAUGUUCAAUAAGAAUGUGAUGACUAAUUAACUUAAAUUUCACUUCGAACUUUAAUUAUUCAAUUACAAUAAAUUAAAUAAUAAUUCAAAGAAAUUAAUUUAAUCUCUAAAUCAUCUCUUGCUCGUAGUGAGAAAAUUCAUUCACUGUGGAUAAUGAUUGAUGAUUGUUUUAUGAACCACUAAAUUAGACUACGAUCACAACUAAGGCAAGCGCACCUAUCGAAUGGUAGUAUUAGUUACAGUGAGUUCAGAGUAUCGUAUCCACAAGGACUAAAAGUACUAGUAUUAACUUUCUUUCUAUUAUUUAGACUAAAAUAUAAGGGAUUUGUUUUAAUCUAAAAUUAACUAACUAAUUAACUACUUAACGCGAUAGAGAGUGAAGAAAGUAAUCGAAUAAACUGAUAAUAAAUACAAUACCCAAGGAAGAAUUCACCUAGACUUCACUCAUUAUUCUAAUUCUGAAUCUAACGAUUUAUUCACUUGUCUAGAUCCGUAGAAAUCCCAAAAUUAUAUUAAUAUCCCUUUCGAGACUAAAAAGAACUAACUCUACGUUGAUUAAUUGAAAUCUCUUUCUAAUUAAAACCUCCAUUAUCACAUUAACUCGAUCUAUGGAUUCCCUUAUUUGAUUUGACUCUAAUCCGGCAGAUUUAUGUUGCCCUAUUUCUAGGGUUGCAUGCAACUCUGCUUAAUUAUGGUGGAUCUACUCUUAAACAGGGAAUUUUUCUCCACUGAAUAAGCACAUCAACUUGAAUUAAUAUCCUGAAAAUAUUAAAACAAGAAUGAAGAAAACAUAAUUAAGAACAAGAACAAGUAUUUAUCAUUUAAUUCAGAAUAUUAAAUAAUAAGAUCCGUCUUAGGUUUCAUCUUUCUUAGGUAUUUGGGGAGUUUAGUUCAUAUUGUUGUAGGAAAACAUCUCAAAAAUAGGAAAACAACAAAACAUAAAGAAACCUAAAAACUUCUAGAGAGAAAUUGGAGGGAGAUCUUCAGUCUUGAAGGUGAUCCUGCUUUCGAGCUGAACUCGUUGGUAUUCUUCGAGUAAUUCAUGUGUUCUACUUUGCGUGUCCCUCUUAGGUCUUCUUCUAGUGUGUUAAUAUAGACUUUAGGAUGCUCUGAAACUCUAAAAUUUGGCCUUUUCUGCGUAUUUGGGAAACAGGGAGCGAUAUCAUCACGGGAUGCCACACGGGCAUGUCGCCAUCCAGUGUGGCUCACACGGGCAUGUGCUCCACUCGUGUGGAAUUCGUUUUAGCAGCGUGGGUCCUUCAAUCAGCUCGUUUUGUCCAUUUUUUACCCGUUUUAUGAUCUUUUUGUUCCCCUAUGCUGUCCUGAGUAUAAAACAUGAAAUUAAGUGAUUAGGAGCUUCUAAUUCACUAAAUUAUAUGAUAAACCAUCCAAAAAUAUGCUAAGUAUGAGAUUAAAAUGUGUUACUUUUAUGGUUUAUCAAAUAUCCCCACAUUUAAGCAUUUGCUUAUCUUUAAGCAAAAUCCUCAAUCACAAUUAAAAUUAAACUUCCUUAAUUCAUAAUUCUCAUCAAUACUGGUUUAUCAUAAUUUCACAAAUAAUCAUACAUUGAUAAUUCAACUAAAAGAGCACCAAAUGCACAAGCAAUCCAAGUCUAACAUUUAAAGCAUGAAAACAUAGGUAUUCCCCUUUAUCUAAAUAAUUAUCUUUAAUUCAAAAAUUAAAAAGAAUUGACAUCCUCACUAAAGAUUCACUCAAAUCACUCAAAGUGUUUAAUGUUCAAAAAUUAAGCACUCAAGAUUCAAACAUGAGAAGUUAUUACCAUAAGCUUGCAUGAAAAUCAAAUCUCCACCACUAUAAAAUGAUGUGAUACACAAAUCAAAAGGUCUUUAAUGGGUUGUAACAGGGCUUGGGUUAAAGGUGUGGAUAAAGGCUGGAAAAGAAGUUAGAAUCGAGAUCGAUUUGAUUAAUUACCUACCUAGAAAAAUACUUAAAUAAUUACACCAAUUGAAUUUACUAACAAGAAACAUGAGCUUCUUCUCAAAAUAUAGAAUUAAAUACUUAGGUCAUAACAAAGAACUAAUAAGAAUCAACAUAAAUGUGUAUAUAUAUAUUCACUUUUUUUUUUGAAUGAAUGAAUAAUAAGAUAAAUUUAUACAACUAAAAUAAAAGAACAUAGUUAGGCAUUUAACCAAAUCAAAUCUUGAAAAAAGGGAGUCAAUAAAAUAGGAAAAAUUCUCAACGAAUCAAAAAGUAUGAUAUAUGGGUUAGUAUUUAGGGUAAAUUACGAAACAGUUUGUUAAGCUCAAAAGGGUUCACUAAGGGUUAAUUAUGAAGGUAGGCUUUUUAUGGGAUAAGUGGGUUAAAACCUAGGUGUCUUUAUCAUCUUAGUAUAUCAAAUCAAAGGUGUAGUCUCGACAUGUAUAAUCGAAGUAAGUUCUAGAAUAAAAAUUCAAUAUUGACACACUUAUAACCAAUAAAAAUUCAAAUGUAUGCUCUAAAGGCUCAAAAUCUCACAAAAAUUAUGGCUUUUGAUGUCAAUCUUACAAAUUUCAAACUUCAAGGUAAUACCUCAAUUUAGGGAAACAACCUAGAAAAUUUUAAUUCUGAAAAUAGACUUAUCAUGCUUGAUUGUCUAAUGUCUUAAUGUUUAAACAAUCAAUGCACAAUUACCUAUGAAUUUAAUCUAAAGCAUACCGAUAAAAAUUACAAACCAAAGAAAAAUCCAUUCUAAUAGUAAUAUGAGAAAACUACUUAAGCACCAGACAUAAUUCAGAGAUUUUCUGAUCAUCAUCUAAAUAACCUCCCCACACUUAAGAUGUACAUGUCCUCAAUGUACAAACAAAUAUAAAUCAUAAUAGAAACAAAAUAUCAUAAGAUAGGGAGAUAAUUGGAACUGCCCUAAAUGGUGGAUAAAUUUCUCAGAAUAGUGAAAAGCUGAAUUGUAGAUAGAUGUAAGGGUAGUGCAGAAUUCUGAGCAAUUGAUAAGAAAAUAAACACAAUGCUGAAGAAGAUUAAAGGGUUACUCGUUGAGAAACAACCAUAAUAAUUAAUAUAAAGUUCAAAAUAGGAAAAAAAUAGACAUAACAAAAAGAAUAAAAAUAAAAAUAAAAAUAAAAGAUAAAAGAUAAAAAUAAAGAUAAACAUAAACAUAAAAAAUAAUUAGACUCAAUGGUCCUUAUCAUCAGAGUGAUGUGAAGGUACUGACAGAUCUGUUGUAAAGUUGUAUCAAUACUGUCGAACCUCUGAGUGCACCACUUAUGGAAACUAGCGAACUCCUCGGAGGAUACUCCUAGGGAGCUAGCAGCAGAGGGAGCAUGUCGAUGACUCGAUGGUGGAGGCUGUGGCGGGUCCUCGUGAUAGGGAGGAACAUCAUCAAUGAAAUCCUCUGGGUCAUGCUAAAUGUCAGACUGGACUAGUCUAUACUGAAGGCGGUCCACUCCACGUCGCCGCUUGAUCAUCCUCAUAUGUAUCAUGCUCGAGAUACCCUGGGGAGACAUUUGACCGAAUAGGGUAAGUGUCGAAGACUACUCAGAUGUGUCGAGUAAGCCGAAGUGUCGAGCGAGAUGAGUCACAUAAGGGCCGAGAAAGAUGGGGCCCUUCUUAUGGUGUUUCGUCUGAUUGCGGCAAGCGAGUGCGAUGAAAUACGCCAAAGCAAACAGAUGUCCGAUAGUCAUGCUCUACAGAAAAUAUGCGUCAUAGGUACUAACCACUCCAGUGCUCUCUCUCCGAUCUGUCAAAGUGUGAGCUAGGAGGGCGUGAAUAUAUCAUAAGGCUGGAGAGAGGUGCGUUGCCUUCUAGCGACUUGCGUCAUAGUUAGUCAAGCGCCUGUAAGCUCAACCCAACAUCACGAGGGCGAGUAAUGAAUAUGUCGAUGAGGAUGGACAAAGUCCUCGGUGCUCAUGAACUCCUCUGUGUAAAGUCCCAAAGUAGCACCGAACUCUGGGACACUCAUGUGUCGCACCAGCCCGCCAAGGCGAAAGGGGAUGGUGCCAGGCUCGUCAUGGACGAACAGGACUUGCUGGACCGAGAAUGUGGCACUGAAUUCUAGGGUGAGCUCUGAGUAAGUGGGCUCUAUGAUGGUGAAGAACCUAUCCCAUGGAGCUGUGACAAUAAUGGCGCGCACAUCAUUAGCCAAACGGACCUGUUCCAAUGUGGCCCAAUCAAUGCAGCGACCCACACCGAGGGGUCAUACUCGAUGAAGCUGGUACAGUUCUUCUUGAGGGCCUACUGAAAAAUGAAGAUAAGGGUGGCGAUCCUCGGCAGAUGCGCUCGAUGAGGAGGUCCCACCGGUGCUUUUUCGCUUUUUCGAAACGGGGACAGUGACUUUGGUCUUGCCUCGAGUAUUCGUCAUGGUGUACCUAAAAAAGAGCGAUCAAAAUGGCGAAUUAUCAUAAAGGGAAUAGGCUAAGGAGGAAACCAACAACUAAGUUUAAGUUGAAGAAUUAAAAUAAUAAAGGAAUGUACUUUUAAGAUGAUAAACUAAAUGCUAACACGAAGCAAAAAACCUAAUAAGAAUAAUAACAUGAAGAACCAGAAUAGCAAGGAUAAAAUCCAAAACAAAAUCAAUUUACAAAAAUAGAAGACAUGAAUAAUACUGUUAAGUGAAUUUAGAGUAACACAAUUAUUAGAGAUAUCUAAAUGAUCAAGAACUAACAAAGAAACAAUAGUAAAGAAUCAAUAUCAGUCAAACCAAUAGAAUAAAAAUAAAUAAUUAAAAGAAUAAAAAAAUAAUAAUGACAAGAAUAAUAAUAAGAACAUAAUAAAAAAUAAAGAAUAGUAAUAAUAAUAAUAAUAACUAUAAAAUAUAGAAAUACAAAGGGAAUAGGGAAGAAACCGACGGUGGUAUGGUGGUGGUCGGCGGGAAAGGUUGAAUGCUCGGUGGUUGUGGUCGAUGAAACAGGGAUGAAGGGUGCGACGUUCGUGAGUAGGGGUCGUGUGGGCGUGGCGGUUUGGGAGAGGUAAGAAAGGGGAAGGAAGAGGGGAGAGUGGAGGGUGGUUGGGAAAUGGGUCGGUGAGAAUGGAGGAAUGUGCGUCGUGGGGAAGAAAAAGGAAGGCUAGAAGGGCAAAAGGGAUGACGGUGGCUGGAAAUGUAGGGGUUUAGAGGGCUGCAGUGACUAGAGGUUGAAGAAGAGAAGAAAAAGACAGAAUAGAAAAGGAAGGAAAAGAAAUUAGGGUUUGGGGUUAAAAGGGGACACUGUCGUGUAACAGUCCGUGUUAGGCCACAUGCUCGUGUCACACGCCAAUAUGGCUCUAAUUCUAGCCCGUGUUCAUCAAGAAACGUUAUAGCCCAUUCGUCACACGGCCGUAUCGCAUGGUCGUGUGCUAUGUUGUUCACUUCUCCCAUGCCUAUGUGGUCUCCCACAUGCCCGUGUGUCCAUAGACACAGUCGUGUGCUUCGGCCAUGAAGCUCUCUGACUUGUUUAAAAUUUGAAAAUUAAUCUUCAAUUUUCACACGGCCUUGGACACGCCCGUGUGUCUAGGCCAUGUAGUUCACACGGCCGUAUCACAUGGCCAUAUGCUAUGUUGUUCACUUUUCCCAUGCCUAUGUGGUCUCCCACACGCUCGUAUGUCCGAACACACAGAGCUUUCUGACUUGUUUAAAAUUUAAAAAUUUAGCUCCAGUUUUCACAUGGCCUGGGACACGCCCGUGUCUCCAGGCCGUGUGCUCCAUACGGCCAUAUCGUACACUCGUGUGGCCUCUGUUAGGACGUGUCUCUGUCGAUAUUUGGGUAAAUUUAGCUCUAGGGACAACACGGGCAAGGACACGCCCGUGUGUCUUGGCCAUAUAUUUCACACGGCCGUGUCUCCGAGCUGUGUAUCUCAUUGUCAGAUUUUUCAAUUUUUAAAAACUAAGUCCCAAAAUCUACACGGCCACAUCGCAUGGCUGUGUAACUCAUUAUUAUCCCCGUGUGAAGUCACACGGCCUAGGACACUCCCGUGUGUCCAGCCCGUGUGGGUCAAAAACCUACAUAAUAUGAUGUAAAAAUAAGAAAAUUAGUAGGGUUAGUACUCGAGUUGCCUCCUUAGAAGCGCUUAUUUAAAGUCUAAGCUAUACUCACCUUGUGUGCAUGGUUAUGAAGGCUCGAAGAGCUGGAGCUCCUCUUUAUCGUUUUUGAAAUCUUCACCAUUAUAAAGUUUUAGUCGAUGACCAUUUACCUUGAAUGUGCCUAAUUUUGGGUGAGUUACCUCUAUCGUACCAUAUGGGAAAAUAGUUUGCACUACGAAUGGACCUGACCAUCUUGAUUUCAGCUUUUCGAGAAACAAUUUGAGCCUUGAAUUAUACAAGAGGAUAAGCUAUCUGACUUCGAAUUGUUUGCGCUACUUUAAACGAGUGCUGCGGCGUCACUUUGUCGCUUCUUUAUAUAAUCAUGAGUUCUCAUAAGCGUUUGUUUUCCAUUCAUCUAACUCGUUCAGCUGCAUCAAUCUCUUCUGACCUACGAGUUUGAGAUAAAAUUUUAGGAAUUUUAUAGCCCAAAAUGCUUUAUGUUCUAAUUAGAAAUGGUAGAUGACAACUCUUCCCAUAAACGAAUUUGCAAGGAGAGGUUCCUAUGGGAGUUUUAAAAGCAGUUCUAUAGGCCCAUAAAGCGUCAUAUACUUUUGUUUCCCAAUCCUUCCUAUUUGAUUCUACGAUUUUCUCUAGGAUGUGUUUAGGUUAUCGAUUGGCGACUUCGACUCGUCCACUGGUUUGAGGGUGAUAAGGGGUAGCUAUCCUAUGAUGCACUCCAUAUUUCUUAAGUACUUUAUCAAAUUGAGCAUUACAAAAAUGUGUACCCCUAUCACUAAUGAUCGCUCUAGGUGUUCCGAAUCGAGAAAAGAGCUUCUUAAGAAAUCUGACUACCACUCUAGCAUCAUUAGUAGGUAAAGAUUGAGCUUCUACCCAUUUCGACAUAAAAUCGACUACUACUAGGAUGUAUUUAUUGCCAUAUGAACUAGGGAAUAGGCCUAUAAAAUCGAUACCCCAAAUAUCAAAUAUUUCACAUGAGAGCAUAUAUGUUUUAGGCAUUUAAUCAUGUUUAGAGAUAUUACCUAUUCUCUGGCAUUUAUCACAAGAAGUAACAUACCUGUUAGCGUCCUUAAACAAUGUAGGCCAAUAAAAACCUGAUUCGAGCGCUUUAUGUGUUGUCUUAGUUCCACUGUGAUGUCCUCCUGCUGGGCCUGAAUGACAGUGUUCCAGGAUCUUACUCGCUUCUAAUUUUGUAACACAUCUCCGAAUUACUUGAUCUGUGCAUACACGAAAAAGAAAAGGAUCCUCCCAAAAAUAAUUUCUCACAUCAGUAAAGAAUUGUUUCUUUUGAUGAUGCGUUAACCUUUUAAGAAUGAUGUUAGCAACUAGAUAAUUCGUAAUAUCUGCAAACCAAGGGCUUUCAGAGUCAGUUGUAACCAGGAGUUGUUCUUCAAGAAACGAGUCAUUUAUCUCAAGUUCAUCAAGCUCCUUAAGAUGUGGGUAUUCUAAUCUAGAUAGAUGAUCUACUCCAAGAUUUUCUACUCCCUUAUUAUCUUGAAUCUCUAAAUCGAAUUCCUACAAUAAUAAAAUCCAUCUUAUUAGUCGAAGUUUUGCAUCUGAUUUAGAAAGGAGAUAUCGAAGAGCUGAAUAGUCAGUGUAUUUGAAAACUUUAGAUAAUAUUAAAUAUGGUCUAAACUUAUCGAAUGCAAAAACCACAGCCAAUAAUUCUUUCUCAGUCAUCGUAUAAUUUUCUUGUGCAGUUGUCAAUGUCUUGCUAGCAUAAUAUAUCGAUUGAAAAAGCUUGUCUCUUCGCUGUCCAAGAACCGCACCUACUACAAAAUCACUCCCAUCACACAUUAGUUCAAAGGGUAAAUUCCAAUCAGGUGCAACUAAAAUCGGAGCAUUAAUUAAUUUAUCUUUCAAAGUGUUAAAUGCUUCUAAACAUUCCUGAUUGAAAUCGAAAGGCACAUCCUUUUCUAGUAAAUUCGUUAAAGGCUUAGCUAUUUUAGAAAAAUCCUUAAUAAAUCUUCUAUAAAAUCCAACAUGUCCUAAAAAACUUCGAAUAGCCUUAACGGAACUAGGGGGAGGUAAUUUUUCAAUAGUUUCAAUUUUCGCUUUGUCAACCUCGAUCCCUUUACUAGAAAUUUUAUGGCCUAACACAAUCCCUUCACGAACCAUAAAGUGACAUUUUUCCCAAUUUAGUAUAAGGUUCGUUUCCUCAGAUCUCAUUAGAACUCAUUUUAAAUUUUUAAGGCAAAGAUGGGAAGAGUUACUAAAUACCGAGAAGUUAUCCAUAAAUACAUCCAUAAUGUCUUCUACGAGUUCAUAAAAAAUGGCCAACAUGCAUCGCUGAAAAGUAGCAGGAGCAUUACAUAAUCCAAAAGGCAUUCGUUGAUAAGAAAACGUACCGUAUGGACAUGUAAAUGUCAUUUUAUCUUGGUCUUUAGGAGCUAUUGGGAUUUGAAAGUAACUAGAGAGUCCAUUUAGGAAGCAGUAACACAUAUGCCCAGAUAAUCUUUCCAACAUUUGAUCAAUGAAUGGCAAGGGAAAGUGAUCUUUUCUCUUGGCAUCAUUCAACUUCCUAUAGUCAAUGCAAACUCUCCAUCCCGUGACUGUGCGUGUUGGGAUCAAUUCAUUCUUCUCAUUAGCCACAAUAGUCAUGCCUCCUUUCUUAGGGACAACCUGCACAGGACUCACCCAAGAACUGUCAUAAAUUGGAUAAAUAACUCCAGCAUCUAGAAGUUUAAUUACCUCAGCUUUUAGGACUUUUUAAUGUUAGGAUUCAGUCAUUUUUGAGCUUGCAUGCAUGGUUUAUAUUCAUAUUCCAUUAAAAUUUUAUGUGUGCAUAAAGGAGGACUGAUCCUUCUUAUGUCAGAAAUCUUCCAAGCUAUAGCUCUUUUAUGCUCCUUCAGCACUUGAAGUAACUCGUCCUUUUCAGUUGGCUAUAAAUCUGAAGCAAUAAUCACUGGUAAUAUGGAAUUAUUUCCAAGAAACACAUAUUCUAGGUGAUUUGGUAAUUUCUUCAAUUCCAAUUUAGAAGGUUCUUCAAUAGAGGGUUUUAAUUUUAAUUCAUUGUUUACCUUAAUACCUUCAUAAUUCUUCUGUCUUGGUGAAGACUCAUUAGAAUUUAAUUCAACUUUUGUCUUACCUAAAACAGAAUCAUCGUCAUUUACCUUCUUUCCUUGGGCAAGACACAGUUCCAACGUAUCCUUAUGAACGAUUUCCUGUAAAGGAUCUUGAGUAGCAUGAUCAAUAGAAUCAAUAAAAUAGCAGGAGUUAUCUUGUUCUCUAGAAAAUCUCAUGGCAUCAUAAAUUUUAAAAAUAAUCUCUUCGUCACCUACCCUAAGCAUAAGUUUACCAUCACCCACAUCAAUAACAGCCCUAGUAGUGGCUUAAAAUGGGCAACCUAAAAUUAAAGGCACCUCAACAUCCUCAUCCAUUUCAAGCACAACAAAAUCAACAGGGAAUAUGAAUUUAUUUACUUUUACGAGUACAUCUUCAAUAAUACCCCUAGGAUAUUUAACAAAUCUAUCAGCUAGUUGAAUACUCAUCUUAGUAGGUUUUGAUUCCCCAAGGCCAAGUUGCUUGAACAUUUUGUGAGGCAUCAAAUUAAUGCUAGCGCCUAAAUCAACUAGUGCCUUUUCAACAUUUAAACUACCAAUUAAACAGGGAAUAGUGAAACUUCUUUGAUCUUUUAGUUUGGUUGGUAGUUUAUUUUGGAUUAUGGUUGAGCACUCCUCGUUGAGUUCUACUGUAGACAAGUUCAAGAAAUUUACCAAAUUGUGCAUCCAUGCGGUUUUUCUUCAACUAUGCUAGAUAUGGGAUUGGUGGUUUAUAUUCCCUUAGCACCAGUUUUUCACUUAUUUUGGGUUUUACCUCCUCAUCCUUCUUCCUAUCAGAUUCUUGUGGCAGUGUUUUUCAGAUUCAGUUAACACAUUCCUACUUAGGUAACUAAUUUCACGUGCUUUUUUAGGUUGGGUUCGGUGUUACUAAGGAGGCUGCCUUGUGGUCUCCCUGAAAUCAUCUUAGCCAGCUGCCCUAUUUGAUUCUCGAGCCCUUAAAUUGAUACUUGUUAAUUUUUAAGUGCAGUUUCAGUGUUUUGAAAAUGGGUUUCUGCUACUGAAAUAAAAUUCGUCAUCAUCUCGUCAAGGUUCGGCUUUUUCUCUUACUGGUAAGGCUGUUGUUGGAAGCCUGGAGGGGGUGGUGGUCUCUGAUUUCCUUGGCCUCCUCAUGAGAAAUUUGGGUGGUUCCUCCAACCUGCAUUGUAAGUGUUACUGUAAGGAUUAUUUUGAGGUCAAUGAUUAUUACCCAUAUAAUUUAUUUGCUCGGUAUCCAUGCUGGGGCCAAAGGGUAAAUAUUCUGAAUUGCCCAUUCCACCUCCACUCGUGUCAGACUACAUCACUGGAUGUACCUGCGUAGAACCUUAUCGACCGUCAAUCUUUUUAUUCAAGAGUUCUACCUAGUUUGAUAGCAUGGUGACUGCAUCUAGGUUGAAAACACCAGUUGAUUUUUUCAGCUUUGUUCUCAUGGCUUGCCACUAGUAGUUAUUCAGUGACAUCUCCUCUAUAAACUCAUAGGCCUCCUCAGGUGUUUUGUUAUUUAUGGUUCCACCGGCAGCUGCAUGGACUAUUUACCUAGUUGAGGGGUUCAAACCGUUGUGAAAAGUUUGAACCUUUAGCCAUAAAGGUAACCCAUGGUGAGGGUGCAUUCUUAGUAAGUCCUUAUACCUCUCCCAUGCGUCGUAUAAAGUCGCUAAAUCCAUCUGCACAAAGGAAGAGAUAUCGUUCCUCAAUUAGGCUGCCUUAGCCGGUGGAAAGUACUUUAGUAAAAACUUCUCAAUCAUCUGUUCCCAAGUAGUAAUUGAACCUCGCGGUAGGGAGUUCAACCACUUCUUAGCCUUUUUUCUUAACGAGAAGGGAAAUAGCCUUAGGCGAAUGGCGUUGUAAAAAACGCCAUUGAUCUUAAAAGUGUCGCAAUAGUCCAGAAAGUUGGCCAAAUGAGUAGUCUUGCAAACCAUCGAAUUGAAUAAACUACUGGAUCAUCUGAAUUGUAUUUGGCUUCAGCUCAAAAUUGUACAUAGUACGAGGAGCAGGAUUCUGAUUUACAGGAAUUACUGCAACCACAGGAGGUAGUGGAUUAUUAUGAUUUUCAGCCAUCUCCUUGGUAGUAUUGGUAUCGUCCUCAUGCUCUUCUUCUAUAUACUGUAAACUUCACCUUAUUUCUCUACAAUUUCUGCGAGCUAUGCUUUCAAUUUCGCUAUAAAAAAGUAGAGGUCCUAAUGGGUUUCUUCCAGUCAUAAACAAUAAGAACCUGCCAGAAGCAAACAAAAGAAAAAUUAGUAAUUAAAAUAAAAAAUAAAAAUAAAUUGCAAUAAAAAUAAAAAAUGGCUAAAGUAAUAAAAAUUAAGCAUUCCUAAUAUCUUAGUUUCCGGCAACGGCACCAAAAAUUUGAUCAUCGUUUUAUAAACCAUUAAAUUAGACUAUGAUCAUGACUAAGGCAAGCACACCUAUCGAAUGGUAGUAUUAGUUACAGUGAGUCCAGAGUAUCGUAUCCACAAGGACUAAAAGUACUAGUAUUAACUUUCUUUCUAUUAUUUGGCCUAAAAUAUAAGGGAUUUGUUUUAAUCUAAAAUUAACUAACUAAAUAACUACUUAACUUGAUAGAGAGUGAAGAAAGUAAUCGAAUAAACUGAUAAUAAAGACUGUUGAAUAGGCACGGGCGUGUAGUCUACCUGUGUAAGUUGUGCUUCGAUCCGGCCAAAGGGACACGGCCGUAAGGCACGCCCAUGUGAGGAAGCCCAGGCCGUGUUGAUUUACCAUGUGGGUCCAGUUUCUCAAUUUUCGGCCCGUUUCUCGCUCUUUUUACUCUCCUAUGCUCAUCUAAGUAUAAAACAUGAAAUUAAAGAAUUAGGAGCAUCAAAUUCACCAAAUCUAAGGAGAAACCAUCCAUAAAUGUGCUAAGCAUGGGAUAAAAACAUGUAUAAAUUACGGUUUAUCAACAACGCAACUGUAAACUGCAGUGUAGACUUCUAACUUAUUGGUCCUCUAGCAAGUGUAAAUACAUAACCAGUGGUUGAUCUUCGUUUAUCCAAAUCACCGGCAUAGUCAGAAUCAAUGUACCUAAUAACAUCUUUACCAAGUGUUGUAUCCUGCUUGAACAGUAAUCCAACAUCCAUGGUCUUUUGAAUGUAUCGUAGAAUCCAUUUCACAGCUUGCCAAUGUCCUUUUCCAGGAUUAUGCAUAUACCUGCUCACUAUACUAACUGCCUAUGAAAUGUCAGGUCUUGUACACACCAUUGCAUACAUCAAGCUACCUACUGCAUUAGAAUACGGAACUUGUAACAUGUAUUCUUGUUCGUUUUCAUUGAAGGAGAUAGUUGUGCAGAAAGCUUGAAAUGAGAAGCCAACGGGUACUUACAGGUUGUCUGCUCGUUCUGUAACACCCCUUACCCAUUCCCGAGACUGGGACCAGGCACGAGGCAUUACCAGACACAUACUCGAAUAUUUUUGGGAAAUACUGUUUAUAAAAGUUCAUUACAAUUUGAACCCAAUCAAACAACAUCUUAGUGCCCCUAUUAUGGGCCUACGAGGCCCAAAAUAUAUAUUGAAAAUGGCCCUAGACUAAAUCGGGGACCUGAGGAAAUUUUAAGAAAAUUUCUAGAUUAAUGUCUCACACGCCCGUGUGGAGACAAUGCACACGCCCGUGUGCUUUGGGACACACCCGUGGCCCCUACUCGUGUGGAAUUAAUUGAAUUUAUUUCCUAUUUCGAACCUACAGGGUUUUCACACAGCCCAACACACGACCGUGCCCCUGACCCGUGCCUCUCACACGGCCUAGACUCGCCUGUGUCCAAGAACCCGAGCAUUCUGUUUAUGAUGCCAGCAUGCAUUUUGGGGCACACGGCCAAGACACAUACCCGUGUGCUAGGCCUACCCUACACACGAUUGAGACACAUGACCGUGUCUCUGCCCGUGUGUUUACUACCAUGCAUUCUGACUUAAAAUGUUUAGCUACAGGGGACACACGGACGGACUACACGCCCAUGGGGCUAUCCGUGUGUCACACACAGCCUAAACACAUGCCCGUGUGUCUAUCCGUGUGGAGCUUAUUGGGCUAUUUUCCAAGCCUUUGGUCACCUUCUAAUAUUCAUAUCCACUUAUAGUUUUCAAUAACACUUAACAUGGUCUAAUUAUACUCUUAAGUGACCUUAAUAUACCUCAUUGCAUGUAAACCUCAUCUCAUCGAUUUUUAUACAUGCUAGGUUAUCCCAUUUAUAUUAAGGAUUUCUAUGACUUGUAACUCAAUUGAGCUUGACUCGUUAUCUUAACUCAUUGCCAAAUUGUGGCCUAACCACCCCAUGUGAUUUGGUCAUAUUGUAUAUCACUAAUUAUAACAUACCAUAUUUAAUCAUCACAAGAAUAUUGGAACAUAACAUGCACAAUUUGGUAGGUCAUAACCUACACCAAAAUGAGCCAAUUCCCCUGGCCAUACACAAGUGAAUAUGUAUACUUUUAUAAGCCUUCACAUUGGCUAAUCAAGUGACACAUAUAACAAAAUAACAAAAGCUCUAUACAUGCCAUUAACAAAAUAAAAGUGUCUAUAUACCAAAGCUAGACAAGAUGAUAGUGUGUUGAUUUUCCAAUCGUCUCCCAAUCUUCACAAGUCCACGAUCUCUGUAAGACAGGAAAAAGAGAGGGGUAAGCAUUUAGAUGCUUAGUAAGCCCGUGUAACUAGAAAGUAAACUUACCGAUUAAUUAGCAUGCAUCCAUAUUAGGCAAUAAAAUCAACAAGCAUAAAAUAAUUUCCCUAUCACAUGCACUCAAACCGACAAGUUAGUUCCAUAACAGUACAUCAUGUAACUUGUCUUAGAUGAGAUCAUCAUCCAACAUUUUCAUUUUUCUAUCUCAUGUUGAUCCCGUGGAGUUUCUCAGAAAUUUCGAUGGAUUAUCCAUUUACCGUCAAGUCAUAAGAGCGAUCAUCUCAAGUACGCGCUCCCGCCAACCUCACAUCAUACGGCGGGAUUACCAGUCCAGGAUAAAUCCCUGGUAAUUUAAACUCAUAGGGCGAUGUCGGGAUUACCAGUCCAGGCUAAAUCCCUUAUAGUGACAAACACCUUUAAUGAGCUCGGAUCUAAAUUACCAGUUCAGGCUAAAUUCAGACCCUAAUCGGAUUACACGUCCGGGCUAAAUCCACAAUGCACACAUAUUCUUCGGGAGGCUCGAUCACUCAAAGAACACCCGUCUAGGCUAGAUCCUUUCUAUAUUUGAGAUCAACGGAUUAUCCGUCUAGGCUAAAUCCUUUUCUACAGCACAUGCAUGAUCUCAAGUCAUGUAAGCCAUGGUUUAUCCAUCGAAUUUCCCUUUUUGACUUCAACCGGGACAUUUAUUAUCAUACCAUUAUUAUUAACACAUUUCAUGGACUUUCAUGCCAUCACUAUAACCAAUUAUCAUACAUUCAUAAAUCAUGCAAUUAGACAUAUUAAUGGUUUACUUAAAGUUAUUCAAACAUACCUGGUACUCGUUCGUUUUCGCGUUUCGGUUAUUCCAAAACUUUUCAUUUUCCUUGAUCGACCUCCGGAAUUUGUUCCUCGAGGUCUAUAACAAUAAAAAUGAAUCAUUAAUACCUCACAUUAUUCUUUUUGAGUCUAAAUUUCACCCCCAAACAGAAUGACCAUUUUGUCCUUAACCUUUCACAUUAUUUAAGAUUUAGUCCCUAGGCUCGUAUGAUGAAAUGCAUGAAUUUUCUACAUUACCCAAGCCUAGCUGAAUGUUCUUUCCUGUUUUGAAAGCCCACAUUUUCCAUUAUUUCACAUUUCUACCACAUAUUUUACACCUUUUGCAAAAAGGUCAUUUUAGGGUUUUUCAUGAAAAUCACCUAGAAAAAGAUGUUUAACACACAUCCAGCUUUCAUAUUCCUCCAUAAAUCAUCAAAUAAUAAACAUGUCACACAUGGGUCACUUUACAUACAUGAACCCUAGCUCAAAAUAUGGGUAGAAAUGGAGAGAAUAAGUUACCAGGAUUUAAAAAAUACAAAGAACAUUAAAAAUGGGGCAUGAGAGCACUUACUAUUGAGCUUGAAAAUGUUGAAAACCCUAGCUAUAGAGGGCUUGAGAAAUUUGGCUAGAUGAGGGAGAAGAAUGACUGAUUUUUACCUUCAUUUUCCCAUUUUAUAUCAUUAAUUAACCAAAUGACCAAAAUGCCUUUAAGCCAUUUCUUUCAAAUUUUAUCCAUACAUGCCCAUUUUUGUCCAUAAACUUUGAAAUUGGGCAAAUUGAUCUUUAAGGACUUUUAAUUAAUAAUCUAAAUCAAUUUCAGGCAAAUUGCUUCUAGAAUCCAAGUUUUUAAUUUAUUCAAUUUGGUCCUUAUUUUCCAAUUGGACACUUUACUCAUAGAAUUUCUUCAUGAAACUUUAACACAUGCAUAUUUCCAUAUUCUAGACCUCAUAAUAAUCAUAAAAUAAAUAUUUCAAUGUUGAAUUUGUGGUUUCAAAACCACAAUUUUGACUAGGCCCUAUUUCGGGAUGUUACAUUUCACCCCUUUAGGGACUUUCGUCCUCGAAAGUCUUACCAGUAAACGGGUUCGGAUAUUAGCUUCUCAUGGUUUCUUCUGGCUCCCAUAUAGCCUCUUCCAAACCAUGUUGAUACCAUAAGACUUUUACCAAGGCCAUAUCUUUAUUUCUCAGUUGUUUAACCUCACGAGCCAGAAUCUUUACCGGUUCUUCACCAUAGGUCGUGUCCAGUCUAAUUUCAAUCUCCAUCGGUGAAAUUACAUGAGAGGAGUCUGAUCGAUAUCGCCUUAACAUAGAUACAUGGAACAUAUCAUGAAUCUUUUUCAGUUCUGGUGGCAUUUCCAAGCGAUAGGCUAAUGGUCCAACUCUUUCAGUGACCUCAUAUGGUCCAAUAAACUGUGGACUCAGUUUCCUUUUUCGGCCAAAUCUCAAUACCUUUUUCUAUGGAGAUACUUUCAAGAAUACUUUGUCUCCGACUUGGAACUCAAUCUCUUUUCUUUUCAGAUCAGUAUAUGACUUUUAUCUAUCCGAUGUCUCUUUUAAACAGUCACGUAUCACUUUGACCUUUUCUUUAGUUUCUUUGAUUAGAUCAACUCCGUGAAUCUGACUCUCCUUAAGUUCUAUCUAAUAUAAUGGAGUUCGACACUUUCUGCCAUACAAGGCCUCAGAAGGCGCCAUCUUCAAACUCGUUUGAAAACUGUUGUUGUAGGCGAACUCUACCAAUGGCAAGUAUUUUUCCCAGCUACCUUGAAAUUCGAGGAUGCAACAUCGCAACAUAUCUUCAAGAAUUUGAAUCAUCCGCUCAGACUGACCAUCGAUUUGCGGGUGAAAAGUUGUACUAAAACUCAACCUAGUACCCAAGGCUUCUUGUAACUUCUUCCAGAAUCUCGAAGUGAAUCUUGUAACAAGUCGGCCAACUUGUUAACAGAGUAAUCUGUCUUUACGGGGAUAAAAUGAGUUGACUUUGUCAACUUAUCAACCAUAACCCAUAUAGCAUCUUUCUUUUUCGGGGUCAAUGGUAAUCCUAUCACGAAGUACAUAGUGAUUUUAUCCCACUUCCAUUCGGGGACCAUCUCAGGCUGUAGUAAACCUGAAGGUACUUGAUGGUCUGCCUUGACUUGCUGGCAUAUCAAGCAUUUCGAUACAAAUUCGGAGAUGUCUCUUUUCAUGCCGUUCCACCAGUAUAUUUUCUUUAAAUCAUUGUACAUUUUGGUAUUUUCAAGAUGAAUAGACAAACGGUUAUCAUGUGCCUCUUGCAAGAUUUUUCAAAUAAUUUCAUCGUUCCUCGAUAUACAUACUCUGUCUCUGAACAUCAAACGUCCAUUAGAUCUGAUCUGAAAAUCUGAUUCGAUACCUGCCUCACAUUGAGUUCUUUUGGCUUGCAAGUCACUAUCAUUAGUCUGACCAUCAUAAAUCUCCUGAAGAAAUGUUGGCCUAACCCUUAGUUCUGCCAAAACUGAACCAUCAUCAAACAACACCAAUCGAGUUUCAUGGCCCUCAAUGCAGAUAAAGAUUUUCUGCUUAACACAUCGGCGACCACAUUCGCCUUUCCCAGAUGAUAAUCUAUGAUCAGCUCAUAAUCUUUAAUUAGUUCUAACCAUAUCUGCUGCCUCCGAUUUAAUUCUUUUUGAGUCAUCAAAUACUUCAAACUCUUGUGGUCUGUGAAUAUACGAUAAGUCUCACCAUAUAAAUAAUGCCUCCAAAUUUUCAAGGCAAAAAAAUGACGGCAAGCUCUAAGUCAUGCGUCGGAUAAUUCUUCUCGUGUGGUUUCAACUACCGUGAAGCAUAGGCUAUUACCUUGCCAUCUUGCAUAAGUACACAACCUAGUCCAUUUAAGGACGCAUCGUUGUAGACCACAAAAUCUUUUCUCGACUUAGGUAAUACUAGAACUGGAGCCUCCGUCAAGAAUGUCUUCAACUUUUCGAAACUCUGCUAACACUUUUCUGACCAUUUGAACUUAACGUCUUUCUGUAGCAACCUCUUCAAUGGAAUUGCUAUUAUGGAAAAUCCUUUCACAAAUCUUUGGUAGUAACUAGCUAAGCCCAAAAAGCUUCUAACCUCAGAUACAUUUUUAGGUGGUUUCCAUUCAACGAUGGUAGAGAUCUUACUUGGAUCAACUCGGAUGCUAUCACCCGAAACCAUAUGACCCAAAAACCCUACUUCUUGGAGCCAAAAUUCACUCUUGCUAAACUUAGCAUACAAUUUUUUCCCUUAAAGUCUGCAACACCAUUCUCAGGUGCUUCGUAUGCUCUGUCUCAUCCUUGGAAUAUAUCAAAAUAUUGUUAAUGAACACGACGACAAACUUGUCCAAGUAUGGGCGAAAUAUCCUAUUCAUAAGGUCCAUAAAUACAGCCGGUACAUUCGUUAACCCAAAUGGCAUGACAAGGAAUUCAUAGUGACCAUACCUCAUUCUGAAAGUUGUCUUAAGCACAUCCGGUUCCUUAACUCGCAACUGAUAGUAAUCGGAUCUCAGGUCUAUCUUAGAGAAUAUAGUGGCUCCCCUCAACUGGUCGAACAAAUCAUCGAUUCUUGGUAAAGGAUACUUAUUCUUGAUAGUUACCUUAUUCAGCUACCGAUAAUUUAUACAUAGCCUCAUUGAACCAUCUUUCUUCUUUACAAAUAAUACGAGAGCACUCUAAGGCGAAAAGCUAGGCAUUGCAAAACCUUUAUCCGUUAGUUCUUGCAAUUGUGCUUUUAACUCUUUCAGCUCGGUUGGUGCCAUCCUGUACGGAGCAAUAGAAAUAGGAGCUUUCUUGGCACUAGUUCAAUACCAAACUCUAUCUCUCUAUCAAGAGGUAGUCCGAGUAAUUCUUCACGGAACACGUCUGGAUAUUCAUAUACUAUUGGUAUGGACUGAAUCUUCAACUUCGUUUCCUUAGUGUUCAGUACAAAAGCAAGGUAGGCUUUGUAGCCUUUUCUCAUACAUCUUUGAGCAGCUAUUGAUGUAAUUACAAUCAGCAGAGUAUCCAACUCUCUUGAAUCAACCCGUAGAAUCUCACCAUUUGGGCACUUCAAUUCAAUAUACUUGCUACCACAAUUUACAAUUACAUCAUGCAGGGCUAACCAAUCCAUGCCAAGUAUUACAUCAAACUCAUCAAAUAGCAAUAACAUAAGGUUAGCUGGAAAACAAUGACCCUGAAUCAUCAAGGGACAAUUUUUACAGACUUUAUCAACCAGGACUGACUUGCCUAAUGGGUUCGACACUCUAAUAUAAAUUCUGUAGGUUCAAUGGACAUAUUCAUACUAAACACCAAUCUCAUGAAAAUGUAUGAAUGCGUCGAUCCCGGAUCAAUUAAGGCAACAACACAAGUAUUAAAAAGAGAAAAAAUACCCGUGAUGACGUCAAGAGCAGAGGCUUCUUCUCGAGCGCGUAUUACAUACGUUCUUGUCGAGGCUCGAGCCUCUAAUUUCAAAGUGUCUUUGGCUGCAACUCGACUGCCACUAGAACUUCCAGUAUCUCAGAGGUCUACCUCGUGGAGUAGGAGUACUCGAAUUAGGGACUAGUUCCAUCUCUUUAUUAGUUCGCUCUAGGCAAUCUCUGAGGAAGUGGUCAAGAGAACCACAUCUAAAGGACGCACCACUCUUCAUUCGGCACUUUUCGAAGUGAAAUUUAUUGUAGCUUUUACACUUCGACUUUUGGUCAUUGACACUCCCUACACUAGUCACCAUCGGGGAAGAAGAAUUUUAGUUACGCCGUUUGGAGCUUCUCGCUCUACCCGAAUAUCCUACUGAUGAAGUGGAGCAUUCACGUUGGCUCUUUGAUUUCUUUGUGGGAAAUGAGAGCGUCUUACCGCUGGAUCUCUUGUUCGCAACUCGAGCUUCUCUCUUAGCUUGCUUUCUUUCAUUAUUGAGCUCCUCGAUUUUCUUGGCCUGAUCAGCUAAUGCAGCGAACUCUCGUAUCUCAAGAAUCCCAAUCAACAACUUGAUUUCUUCAUUCAGACCUUCCUCAAAGUGUUUACACAUUUCUGACUCUGUUUGAACCCAUUCAGUCGCAUACUGACUUAGGCUUAGAAACUCUCUUUCGUAUUCCGCUACAGUCUUAUCUCCUUGUUUGAGUUCUAAGAACUCCUUUCGCUUCGAGUCUAGGAAUCUUUGACUGGUGUAUUUCUUCUUAAACUUCGCUUGGAAAAAUUCCCAAGUGAUGUUUUCCUUUGGCACCACUGAAGGUACAGUCUUCCACUAGUGGUAUGUAGUUUUCCUUUGAACGGGGCUUUACCAACUCUUACAGGUGCCAUACCUCGUGGCACUUCCUCAUCAGGUCGAUUAGGGGGCAGGGAAGGUUAUGGCAUGUUGGGGUGAUUCCUCAAAUAAUCCUCAAACCAUUCAUCCAUCAUAUCAAAGAAGGCGACUUUGGCCUCUUCCCAGCCUUCAAACAUAAGCCUUUUACUACUACUAGAAAUAGCUCUUGUAUGGAAGCUGGAGCAUGGCUCUCGGCUCUCUCGGGCUCAUCUUACGCUUGAUUGGAAGGCAAUUACUAUAUUCAAAGACGAUGAAAUAGUUAGGAGAUGUCACACUAUCAACGUUCAUAUAAUGAAAUGUAUAGCUAAACUCGAUACAUUCUACGGUAGUCCUAGAACCGACUAAAUCUUAGCUCUAAUACCACUAAAUGUAACACCCCUUACCGAUUCCCGAGACCGAGACCAAGCACGAGGCAUUACCAGACACAUACUUGAAUAUUUUUGGGAAAUACUAUUUAUAAAAGUUCGUUCCAAUUUGAACCCAAUCAAACAACAUCUUAGUGUCCCUAUUAUGGGCCUACGUGGCCCAAAACAUAUAUUGAAAAUGGUCUGGGACUAAACUGAAGACCUAAGAAAAUUUUAAGAAAAUUUCUAGGUUAAUGUCUCACACGUCCGUGUGCUUUGGGACACUCCCAUGUCCCCUACCCGUGAGGAAUUAAUUGAAUUUAUUUCGUAUUUCGAACCUAUAGGGGUUUUCACACGACCAAGCACACGUCCUAGACACGCUCGUGUGGUCACCCAUGUCCAAAAACUCGAGCAUUCUGUUUAUGAUGUCAGCAUACAUUUAGGAGCACACGGCCAAGACACACGCUCGUGUGCUAGGCCGUGCCCUCUACAUGGUUGAUACACACGGCCGUGUCUCUGCCCGUGUGUUUACUACCAUGAUUCUGACUUAAAUUUUUUAGGUCCAAGGGACACACGGACGGACUACAUGCCCAUGGGGCUAUUCGUGUGUCACACACGGCCUAGACACAUGCCCGUGUGUCUACUCGUGUGGACCUUAUUGGGCUACUUUCCAAGCCUUUGGUCACCUUCUAAUAUUCAUAUCCACUUAUAGUUUUCAAUAACAAUUAACAUGGUCUAAUUAUACUCUUAAAUGACCUUAAUAUGCCUCAUUGCUUGUAAACCUUAUCUCAUCGAUUUUUAUACAUGCUAGGUUAUCCCAUUUAUAUUAAGGUUUUCUAUGACUUGUAUCUCAAUUGAGCUUGACUCGUUAUCUUAACUCAUUGCCAAAUUGUGGACUAACCACCCCAUGUGAUUUGAUCAUAUUAUAUAUGACUAAUUGUAGCAUACCAUAUUUAAUCAUUGCAUAAACAUUGGAACAUAACAUGCACAAUUUGGUAGGUCAUAACCUACACCAAAAUGAUUCCCCUGACCAAAUACAAGUGAAUAUGUAUACUUUUAUAGGCCUUCAUAUUGGCUAAUCAAGUGACAUAUAUAACAAAAUAACAAAAGGCCUAUACAUACCAUUGAACAAAAUAAGAGUAUCUAUAUACCAAAGCUAGACAAGAUGAUAGUGUGUUGAUUCUCUAAUCGUCUCCCAAUCUUUACAAGUCCACAAGCUUUGUAAGACAGGGAAAAAAGAGGGGUAAGCAUUUACAUGCUUAGUAAGCCCGAGUAAGUGGAAAGUAAACUUACCGAUUAAUUAGCAUGCAUCCAUAUUAGGCAAUAAAACCAACAAGCAUGAAAUAAUUUCCCUAUCACAUGCACUCAAACCGACAAGUUAGUUCCAUAAUAAUACACCAUGUAAUUUGUCUUAGAUGAGCUCAUCAUCCAACAUUUUCAUUUUUCUAUCUCAUGUUGAUCCCAUGGAGUUUCUCGAAAAUUUCUAUGGAUUAUCUAUUUACUGUUAAGUCAUAAGAGCGAUUAUCUCAAGUACGCGCUCUCGUGAACCUCACAUCAUACAGCAGGAUUACCAGUCAGGCUAAAUCCCCCAUAAUGUAAACUCAUAGGGUGACGUCAGGAUUACCAGUCUAGGCUAAAUCCCUUAUAGAGAGAAACGCCCAUAAUUAGCUCAGAUCUGAAUUGCCAGUCCAGGCUAAAUUCAGACCCUAAUCGGAUUACACAUUUGGGCUAAAUCCACAAUGCACACAUAUUCUUCGGGAGGCUCAAUCACUCAAAAAGAACACCCGUCUGGGCUAGAUCCUUUCUAUAUUUGAGAUCAACGGAUUACCUGUCCGGGCUAAAUCCUUUUCUGCAACACAUGCAGGAUCUCAAGUCAUGUAAGCCAUGGUUUAUCCAUCGAAUUUCCCUUUUUGAGUUCAACCAGGACAUUUAUUAUCAUAUCAUUCUUAUUAACACAUUUCAUGGACUUUCAUGCCAUCACUAUAACCAAUUAUCAUACAUUCGUAAAACAUGCAAGUAGACAUAUUAAUGGUUUACUUAAAGUUAUUCGAACUUACCUGGUACUCGUUUCGGUUUCGCGUUUCGGUUAUUCCGAAACUUUUUAUUUUUCUCGAUCGACCUCCAAAAUUUGUUCCUCGGGGUCUAUAACAAUAAAAAUGAAUCAUUAAUACCUCACAUUAUUCUUUUCGAGUCUAAAUUUCACCCCAGACAAAAUGAUCGUUUUGCCCCUAACUUUUCACAUUAUUUACGAUUUAGUCCCUAGGCUCGUAUGAUGAAAUGCAUGAAUUUUUUACAUUACCCAAGCCUAGCUGAAUGUUCUUUCCUCUUAUGGCAGCCCACAUUUUUCCAUUAUUUCACAUUUCUACCACAUAUUUUACAACUUUUGCAAAAAGGUCCUUUUAGGGGUUUUUCAUGAAAAUCACCUAGAAAAAACAUGUUUAACACACAUCCAAAUUUCAUAUUCCUCCUAAUUCAUCAAAGAAUAAACAUGUCACACGUGGGUCACUUUACAUACAUGAACCCUAACUCAAAAUAUGGGUAGAAAUGGAGAGAGUAAGUUACCGAGAUUUUAAAAAUACGAAGAACACUAAAAACGGGGCUUGGGAGCACUUACUAUUAAGCUUGAAAAUGUUGAAAACCCUAGCUAUGGAGGGCUUGUGAAAUUCAGCUAGAUGAGGGAGAGGAAUGGCUGAUUUUUGCCUUCAUUUUCUGAUUUUAUUUCAUUAAUUAGCCAACUAACCAAAAUGCCCUUAAGCCAUUUCUUUCAAAUUUUAUCCAUACAUGCCCAUUUUUGUCCAAAAACUUAGAAAUUGGGAAAAUUUCUCUUUAAUGACUUCUAAUUAAUAAUCUAAAGCAAUUUCAAGCAAAUUGCUUCUAGAAUCCAAGUUUUGCAGUUUAUUCAAUUUGGUUCUUAUUUUCCAAUUGGACACCUUACUCAUCGAAUUUCUUCAUGAAACUUUAACACAUGCAUAUUUUCAUAUUAUAGACCUCAUAAUAAUCAUAAAAUAAAUAUUUCAAUAUCAGAUUUGUGGUCCCGAAACCACUGUUCCGACUAGGCCCUAUUUUAGGAUGUUAUACAUUCAUGCCAAACCGCUGUAGUACUUUUUUCAAAUAUUGCUUCUGAGACAAGCAAACUCUGCCAUGAACUCUAUCUCUACAUAUUUCCAUACCAAGAAUCUUUUUAGCUUCACCUAUAUCUUUCAUCUCAAACUCAAGGUUGAGUUGAGUCUUUAAUCUCUCAAUUUCAACUUUACUCUUAGAUGCUAUCAACAUAUCGUCAACAUAUAAGAGGAAGUAUAUGAAAAUUCCUUCUUGUAGCUUCUAAAAAUACACACAAUGAUCAAAUUUACUUCUUGUAUACCUUUUCCCUUUCAUGAACUGAUCAAAUUGCUUGUACCGCUGCCACUAAUUAAACCCGUGUCAUAAAUAUCUUUGGUAUACCAAAUGCUCGUCUAAGCUAAACAUGUAGUCAUGUUGGAUUAGCCAUCUGGUCUAAACCUUUAAUGGCACAUUCGAUUGCUUGGUCAAGCUGAAAAUGUACAUGUAAGGUUACUCGUUUGGACUAAACCUUUAAAAUGGCAUAAGGUUACUCGUUUGAGCUAAACUUGUGUCACAUGUAUCUACGAGUUCGUAACAAAUAUUGAAUUUUGAUAAUCAUCAGUAAUCAAUUCAUAUCAGUGUGCACAAGACCUUAUUUACAUAUCAAUCGCAUCAAAACAUUAAUUAAGUUCACCCGAGUAUAUUUCAUACACAUAUAUAUUUCUUUACAAUUUAGUCAAAGUCUCACCUUCUGUACCAAAUCACAAAUAAUUCAAAUUACAACCAAAUAUAUACAUAUUCAUAAUUCAAAUAUAUAGAAAUUUAAAUAUAAUCAUACCAUAUGAACCUAGAAAACAACAAGCAAUCAUAUUCUUUAUGUACUAAUCAAUUACUAACACCUAGUUGUCACUUACUCAGGAUUGGUGUAAGUCAAACUAUGAACGUCACAAGUGAAUAAAUCUAUAGAUGAAUUCAGGAUUUAUGCGACUUAGGUCUUGUCCAAUGUGUUGUUAAUCCAGACAAUUACAUCUAUAUCUCUCUCUUCUGGGAGUUAUCCAUUCUAAUACCUAAGAUUAAGUAUCUCCCACUUGGACUUGAUAAAUGACAUGAUAGUUUUUUAAUCAAUUUGCUCAAUUCCGAUUAGACUAUGGACCAUUUAGAUUACCUAUUAAUGUAAUUUGUCUUAUCACAUUAUGAUCUUACCACAAAAUGCAACUUAAUAUUAGUUCAAAAUUAGGUGACCAGUGAGUUCAUAUUUGUUUAUUCAUUUUUCUUUGCAUGGAAAAAACGUAUAGGACAAAUAUAAACGAUAUUAAUGUGAAUGAUGAAAUUUUAUUGAACCAAUCUAUUCAAAAAAUUAUAAUUUCAUAUAACAAGAACUACAUUAUGGGAGCUAGAUCCUAAUAAUAAACCCUUCCAAACAUCUUUUGCCAUUAGAUCAAUGCUCUUAUAAUCAAAGCCUUGCAACUUCCAAAUAAGCUUAUAUUUAACCUUACCGAGUACAAACCACUAAAAUUUUCUUGCCAUAUCAACCUGUCAUUCACAUGACCUCCUGUAAAAGGAAUCUAUAGUAUAGUAGCAUCCUCCUGUUCAAAUAUGCUUUGAAUAAAUUAUUCACUCCACCUCCCUUUUUGCAUAUUCAACAACUCUAAAACAAAUGUCACUGUGCAAGACUCAUUUUAACAAGUUUAAAUCUUCCUUAUCAUAGUCUUCAUGAGCCAUCAGUCUCCCUAUAUAAAAAUUCACCCACCACAAUGUAAACCUUCAUCCAACACUCGCUUAGUAGCCAGGAUACUUCUCCACAUUGGAGAAGGAUUUCAACCCAUUUGUGCAUCCAUAAAUGUGCCUUAAAGGAAAAUAUUUCACUCUAAAAAUUCUAGAAAUAAGUAAAUUUUCUUAAUAAAGUAGUUACCACCCUUGUUUAGCUAGCAUGGCGACAUUAAAAACUUUCUAUUCUUGGAAGCCUAUACCUCUUAUUGAUUUUGCUUCACACAACUUACCCCAACUAAGCUAAUGUAACUUUCUUUUAUAAUCUUGUCGCCCUACAAAAAAUUACACAUAAUUUAAUUUUAUGAAUUUUGAGUUGAUUUAAAUUUAAUUUUAUGAAAUUUGACCAUAGAGAUGUUUCCCAAUAUCAAAGCUAGAAAUGAACCCUUUACAACAACGAAGUUAAAUAAGAAAAAUAGCAAAGAAAUAAUCACAAGGAUCAAUCUCCAAGAUCUAUCCCUUUUCUAUCUUUUUUUUUUGUCUAGAUGAUCUCUUCAUUUAGGUUUGCAAAAACCUAUAAAUCUUCAUCUCCUAUUUUGUCUCUAAUAGCUCCAAAAGGUUAGAAAUAACUUCUUUGACAUAAAUAGAGCUUGAGUAUACAUUAAAAGUAACCAAGUGAUAUCCAAAUACUCAAGGAAGAAAUUAACAAGAAAAUCAUUUAGCUUUUCAUUUUUUCUUCUUAUCUGUUGGGGAUUGACUUGGUUAAAUAACGAACAAGUAAAAAAAAUGGUGGAAGAAAUUAAGAAGUUGAACACACAAAUUUAACGUGAAAAAAUCUCUCCAAUGAGGAUAAAAAACCAUGAGCAAAUAUAAUUUUUCUAUAAUGGAAAAAGAACGAAGAGUAUAAAAGAUAGAGAUAAAAGCUAAACCCCGAAACCUGAAAACAAAGAACCCUCAAAAUGUAAACACAAAAUUCUCUAAAAGUGUCAUGAGUUCUAAUCUUUAAUGGGUGUAUUUUUUAAUGUUGUAAAAAGAGCCUAUUUAUAGGCUUAAUUUGUAGGUCAAAUAAUAAAAUAAUCUAGACUAAUUAGAGUUCAAUUGAAACAAAUAAACAGAAUUUAACUAAGAGAUUAUCUCUCAAAUUUGACUGAAUUAUGAGGCAUAUUAAACAAAUUUCCACCUUGACUCAUAUUUUCACAACGUCAUCUUUGCCAAAUCUCGCCACGGGCCUAUCUUGAACUAUGCAGAGAAUUAACUAAGUCGAAUCUGUGCUUAGAAGCAGGAAGACUUCUAGCCUUUGAAUUGUGCAUUGCCAAAUCAAAACUAACCCGGGUAUGAUUUUCAUGAACAUAGUGCCCUAACUUUGCAAAACCUGUAUCCAAAAGAUAACCUCUUUUCAACGAAACGGUAAUAUUUUUUCCCUCUUAUAAUCAAGUUGCCUCUGCUCCAAACUAGUUGACUUCAACUCCGUAAUGAACGAGGGACAUCCAAUUUCACCUGUCACUGUAGAACCUUCCAGAAUAUAAAGAUUGUCAGUCCUUUUACCUUUUAACAAACCGAGAGGCCCAUGAGACACAGUAAUACCGCUCAACUUGAUGUUGAUUCUGCAACCUUUCGAAUCUAAAAUAUUCAAGGAGAUGAAAUUCUUUCAUAAAUCAGGUACAUAGCUGACAUCUGAGAGUGUCCUAAUCGUCCCAUUGUGUAUCCUAAUUUUAACAAUACCAAUACCGGUUACCUUACUAGAUGAAUAUUUCUCAUCCACACAACUCCACCUUCAACCAAAUUGUACGUGGAGAACCAUUCUUUGUUGGGACACAUGUGGAAAGAACAUCUCGAAUCUAUAAUCAACUCGAACGUAAGCUUGGAGCUAUUGCUCGUUGACAAUAAUAAGAAAUUCUCAUCACUUUUAUCAACAAAAUUAGCACCAACUACAUCUUUCUCAUUACUUUUAGCAUCCAUUUUAUUUCGCAGUUUAUAGCAAUUUGCUUUGACGUGACCUAACUUCUUACACUAGUAACACCUUUUGUCUUGCUUCUUUAAUGCUACCAAAACGGAAGCUUGCCUAUCUUCCUUGCUAUUUGAACCAAACUCAUUGUCGAGUUUGUCUUUACUCAAGAAAUGACCCUUCAUAUCCUCAAAGAAGAGUUUGUCUUUUUCAUAAAUUAGGGUUUCCCUGAAAGUGUAUAAAGAUGGUAAAGAGCAGAAUAAUAGUAUAGCCUGAUCUUUAUCAUCAUUCUUAACCUUAAAAUUAUUUAAAUCAUUCAAAUGAGUGAUAAAUUGAAUAAUUUGAUAUCUAAAAAGCUCACCUUCUUUCAUGUGAAACGUAAAUAGGUGUUUCAACACUAAAAUGUUAGCUAGAGUUUUAGUUGCAUAAAGAGUUUCUAACAUUUUCCACAAGGCGGAUAAGGUUUUCUCCAUCAAUACCUCCUGCAAUACCUUAUACACGAGGCACAACUGGAUUACAGAUAGGGCCUUUUCAUCAAGCUCUUCUCAUUCUGCCUGAUUUAGAUUCUCAAGCUUUUUCCAGUAACGACCUUUUCCAGGCCGGUCUAAACUAGAAUUGCCAUCAUCCGAACUUGCCACAAAUUGAAGUUUGUGACACCAUUGAACUUCUCAAAGUCAAACAUUGUUGUUGUGAUCUCUGAAUGGGCUAAUCCACGAAAAUUAGACUAGUUAUGAUACCACUUAUUGGGGAUCGACUCGAUUAAGCAACGAACAAGUAAAAAAUAGCAGAAGAAAUUGAGAAAUUGAUCACACAAAGUUAAUGUGGAAAAACCUCUCUAAAGAGUAUAAAAAAUCAUGGGCAAAGAUAAUUUUACUAUAAUGGCAAAAGAACGAAGAGUAUAAAAGAUGGAGAUAAAAACUGCACCCUGAAACCCAAAAACAAAGAACCCUUAAAACGUAAACAUAAAAUUCUCCAGAAGUGUUAUGAGUUCUAAUAUUUAAUGGGUGUAUUUUCUAAGGUUGUAAAAGAGCCUAUUUAUAGGCUAAAUUCGUAGGUCAAAUAAUAAUAAAAUUAUCUAAACUAAUCAGAGUUCGACUGAAAUAAACAAACAACGUUUAACUGGGAGAUUGUCUCUCAGAUUUGACUGAAAUAUGAAGCAUACUCAACAUUAUCUUAUAUGCAAUUGAUUGGGCUUCAUUGAAGAUCACACAUGUGUUUUAUUGUAUUUGUAAGAACUUAAUUUUGCAAAAUCUCACCUAUUAAGGGCUUAUAAUUUGUUUGCUCUUUGUAUUAAAAUGGCACUUAAGAAAGAAAAAAAACUUUAAAAGGAGAUUAUAAGUUCUAAAUUGAGCUUUAAAAGUAAAAGAGGUUUAUAUCUUAACCUUUAUAAAAUACAAGGCUUAAAGCAUCGCUUACCUCUUAAAGUAUACCAUUUUUUUAGAUUGGUACUAAUUUUUUUUUGGCUCAAAUUGGUACAAAAAGUAUGAUUUUCUUUCUUGAUUCAGUCUUUUCUGUCAACACCGUUAAAAAACAUUUAAUUGUUCCUAACCAAUUAUAGCAUGAAAGUGUUAUUAUUUCUCACGCCAUUAAUCUAUGUGGAAUUAAAUAUGGAAUCUAAUUUGAAAUUAAAAAAAAAAACAUAAGUACAUGUGUUUUUAAAAAAUAAAAAAAUUAAAUAAAUUUGAUUUACUUUACCUCUAUCCAAAUAGAUUCCAAAAUAGAAACCUCAAAAGCAACAUUUUAACAACUAGUUUGGUCCCUAAGUAAGAUAAGGAUAAUGAUGAGAGUUUUGAGAAUGUGAUUGCCAAUCCUCACUCCUCCUCCUUUCCAAAUUCAACCAACAUAAAUUAGGAAGGGAUAAAACAUAGCAUGAGAAUGAUUUGCUGAUAGUGUAAUGCACAUGAAGAUCAAAGUAAAAAAUGCCAACUUUAUACUGCACUUAGUUAUCCUGAAGGCAUGUCUAAAUCAUUGUUUAAAGGUUUAUCGAAAUAGCUGUUUAAACAAGGGAUAUAACAUGGUGACUAAACCUGCAUUUUAAGGAGUUGUUCGAACAUGAGGAGAAACUUCAAAUACAAAGGCAACUAAUGUCCCAACACAUGCAUACCACUAAUUAAAAAGGUUAAAAUAUGUCAUAGGUCCUUGUACUCUUUACAAAUUUAGAAUUUAUAUUUUCAAGAAUUUAGUCUCAUUUUUUAGAUUUCAAAAUUCAAGUCUAAUUGUUAACACAAUUUGAAAUUAAAAAAAAAAAAUACUCGCAAGCAAUGUGACUAAAAAAUGGGAGUUGUAAUGUACUUGAAUUUCACAAAAUAAUUUUAAUAAUAUUAACAGUUGAGCUUAAAUUUUAAAAUAUUAUAAGCAAAAAUAAAAAAAUCCUAAAAAGACAUAAACUUAUAACAUAUUUUAUCCCAUUAAAAGCUAAAACUUGGAUGCAAAAGCCAUGUGAAUAUAAUGUAAAUAGAAGGUAAGAAAACUCAUGACAGAUCACAUAAUAUUCCCAACUCUGGUUGGCAGUUGUAGAACCUUAUCUAGCCGACCCAAAAUAGAAAUCUAAUUAACCUAAUUGGCCUUUGGAGACAUUUCAACACACAGUUGUAUUUGCUAAGAAACUCUCGUGACUCUUCGAACCCACCGAGUCCUGACAAUUCUCAAUCACGGGUAUAAUACCUCGUGGUGCCACCCUAAUUAAACUAUUCUUUUUUUGGUCUGAAGAUGGAACAUUCAUUGAUCAACAACCCUUUUGAUCACUGUAUAAAACCACCCCCAAAAUUUUUACAAACACAAGCUCAUCCAAUCACUUUGGUUUAGUAGUAAAGUACUGAAGCCAUGGCAGCAGGGAAGGUUGUUGUUCUGAUGGUAAUGGUCGUAUUAAUGGUUGAGGGCUCAAGGGCAAUGACCUUGUGUCGCAUGAAUGAUCAGGGACUUGAGGCGUGCAAGCCAUCGGUGACACAGCCGAACCCGGUCGACCCAUCACCCGAGUGUUGCAAGGCUCUGAAAGGGGCUGACUUGACAUGCUUGUGUUCUUAUAAGAAUUCGGUGUGGCUAGGUACUUUGGGGAUUGAUCCAAAACUUGCCUUGGAUUUGCCUCCAAAGUGCAAGCUCCAAAUGCCUAGUGUUUGCUAAGGUACAAUGCAUUAAUUGUUCAUAAUAAAUUUUCAUGGAUUACUACUGUUAUUUUCUAGUACCAUGAUCUUCUAGCUAGUAUAGUGACCUAUCUUUCAUGAUAAGUUUGGUUUGACUUAAAUCCACUUAAUAUGUCAUUUUCAUCAAAGUGCCAAUUGUGACAUAUACUGAAACCUGAGGAUUGCAGGACAACUGGGGCAUCAAUUUUUGGCACCAACUAUACAAAAUACAAAUUAUAACCAUGCAUUUCUGUCAUUUAUUUGUAUAUCUUUGACAUAUAUGUACUGUUUCAGGUUUCCAGAAGAGCAUGAAGCUGCUUUCUCAUGUUUGUUGGACUUUCACAAGUUUCUUUGUAUUGUUUUGAUGUGAAAAUCUUUGCAAAUCUUGUAUCUGUUUCGUGUUAAAUUAUUAUUUGGUUAUUGAAGUUUGUACGGACAAGUGAGUGGAAUUGGCCGCCUUCUGCUCUUUUUAAUUCUCAUUACUCUUUUUAUGUUUUUGGUGUUCACAACUGCCCCAUUUUCUUCUUGUUUAAAAGAAACCAACUUCAAAUUUGGAAAGAUUGAAAAGAUGAGGAAAUUUACAUGGAAACUUACUUAACUUCAACGGUAAUUCCAAUGAUUUUACAAUCUGAUCAAAUUUGUCAGUUAAAUUUGUUCAAUUGGAGUAUCAUUUCGGAAUAAAGAGUUGAAUCGAUUGACUCACAAAUUAGUUAGAUAAAUUGAAUUGGUUGAUUAGGCACUUUGAACCAAAUAAUUUAAUUUUUUUUAAUUUUUAAUAAUUUAUUUAAUUAAAUCACAUUAAUUGAUUGAAUCGAUUAAACUGAAAAUCGAUGAGAUAACUGAUUUUAUCACCGACUUAAUUUUUAAGGUUUAACAGAAAAUUUUUAAAAGUUAAAUUUUGUUUAUCAUUAUUAUUAACUUGAACAAAAUUCUCAAAGAACGAAAAGUGAUGUAUGAUAUCUCCCUAUUUAAAAUUUCAAAGUGGGUGAGGGGGAAAGUUGCCGUUAAACUCGUAUCAUAUCUCCCUAUUUAAAAUCUCACUCAAGCAAUUACUCAAGUAAUUUGUCAUAUAUCAUAUAUAACGAUUACCCAAGUAAAUUAAUCACUUAAUAAUAAUAGUAUAUCAUAUAUAUCAUAUUAUAUAUAUAUUCUAAGGUUUUUGUGUCCCAAUUAUCCAAUCCACAUAUGGCAACAUAAUAUAUCUAUAUAUCCAAUUUUUUAAAUUUGUAAAUAAUAAUAUUUUUAAAUUAUAAUAUGUUUUUAAAUUAAUACAAUAUAAUUUUAAAAUUAUAAUAAUUAGAUUUUACACCUCACUUUACUUGCGAUGUCAACCUUUAAUUAUAAUAUAAAUAAAUUUAUAUUAUAAUUAUAUUAAAUAAUUAUUAUACUUUAGUAUUUAUGCAAAUAAAUUUAGAAAUAUAUUCAAAUGAAAUAUAAUAAAUUGAGAAAUCAAAAACUAAAAUAAUUAUAUAAUUUGUCAAACCCCUUUAAAUAUUUCCAUCGAAUUCAAAAAAAAUAAAUAAUUUAAAUAAUACAAAUAAACUCCCAAGUGAUACAAAUACAAGAAAAAAACACAAUCCAAAAAAUUAUACACAAACCCUGCACUAGGUAGAGUCCUAGGAAAAGAAGAUGAGUCUUAUUAAGAGCCAAUUUUAAAUAUGCAUAUUCUCAUUACCACACUUCUUAUAUUUAAUCGGUCAACUGUGGAUCAUCCCAUACAUAUAUUUAACAAUUAUAAUAUUACAUAAUAUAAAUGUUAUAAACAACAAUAAAACAAAUAUAUAAGGAGAUGGGUAAUUAAAAUAAAAUUGUCAAUCAAUAUUUUCAUAGUUCUAUUUCUAGAAAAUAAAUGAAAAACAAAUAUUAUAUAGUUUUUCAAUGCCAUCGCUCUAUCUUCUUCUCAUCAUGGGCUCCUUUUGGAAAAAAAAUAUAUUUAAGUCCUAUAUCUGUUUCUGACUCACAAGAAUUCUAUGAAUUUAAAAAAUUGUCAUACAUGGAGAUGAUAGUCCAAGAUCUAUUUCCUAAGAACCAUAACCUUGACAAAAAAUAACAAUUAUAUAAAAAUAUAUAAUAUUACAUCCAUUCUCAUAAAUAACUCAAAACAUGCAUAAGAUCUAAAAAAUGUCACUUUCUAUGUAAGUAUCUAGUAAAAAUUUAUUAAAUCAUCCAUUAAAAAAUAGAAGGGAGACAAUAUUGAGAUAAACUUCGUUAUCCAAAAUGAUGAAAUGGAGGAUAAUUUUUUGAAAAAAGAUAAAAAAUUUAUUAUGAUACUAAAGCUAACCAUGCAUACAAGGAUGAUGAUUUUAAAGGUCUUAAUGAUAUAACUUAUUUGUAUGUUUUUAAUUUUUCUUCAUAAGAAAUAGUUUUAUAUAUUUUCCUAUGACUAUUUGCAAUAUUUCUAAUUAAACAAUGAUUUCUUUUAAAUAAAAAUAUGAAUUUUUUUUAUUCUUUCAUUAAACCCAAGAAGAAAGACAUGUCACGUAGAUUUUGCUACAACAUAUUCUAUCUUUAAAGGUAAAAGAUUAUUAUUAUUUAAUAUUAUAUUAGAUAAAUAUCAAAGUAAUAAAAGGCUCCAAAAGAGCUAUGAUAUUAAAUGUCUUGCAUUUCUAAAAUGAAUAUGGUCCAUUCAUCCACCAUGUGGAUGGUUUUGAUAUUAUAUGAUUCUGGUAUGCGUAUCUAGAAAAUAAUCACAUAUGUAAUAUCAACUUACAACCUGUCAUUUGCGAGUUUGUUUGUUUAAAUAAUUAAUUUAAGAUUAUACAAUUAAGAUAAUUCAUUUUGCUAAUUCUGGUGAGUUUAUGUUCUAUGUUUACAAUGAUUAUUGUAUGUCAAUUGGGAUAAAAAAUUAAAUAUCUUGUAGCUUAUGUUCACACACAAAACAAUUUAGCUAAAUUGUUUAUCAAGUGCCUCCAAUUAAUAGUUAGGCCAUUACUUAUGAGAACAAAACUCCCUAUUACAGCUUAGGAUAUGUUAUUUUGCAUGCAACAACACUUAUACAUGUUAGGCCAACAAGUUAUAAUAAAUACUCCCAAUUACAAUUGGCUUUUGGUCAGGAGCCAAAUAUUUUCCAUCUUAGGAUUUUUGGAUGUGUAAUAUAUGUUCCAAUUGCUCCACCAUAACACACAAAGAUGAAUGAGCCCUUGUAGGAGGUUAGGAAUGUACAUUGAUAUAAAUCUCCUUCUUUUAAUAAAAAUCUUUGAGAUAUUAAUUAGAGAUUUAGUUAUGACAUAAGUUGUCAAUUAUUAUGAGAUAGUUUUCCGAACAUUAGCGGGAGAGAAUAAAAAGUUGAACGAAUAAAAUACUUGGAAUGAUUUAUCAUUAUUUGAGAUCCUCAUAAAAAGCAAUGUGAACCAAAAGCUCAGUAGAUAAUUUAUUUUACAAAUAAACUCACAGGUUCAUUUAUUGACAUAAAGAGAAUUACAAAAUCUCAUAUACCAAUUGAAAAUGCUUAAAUACAAAUUGAUGUCCCAAUAGGAAAAACUGUUAGCGUAAAAGAAAGUAAUCCACGCUUGAAGCGUGGAAGACCAGUUGGUUCCAAAGAUAAAAUUCCUCAUAAAAGGAAAAGAGAAAAUAUUCAAGAUGGUCAUAUUGUGGAGGCAAGUGCUCGAAAAGAGGCCAAAGAUAUAACUAAUAAUAAUAUUAAAGCCCAGAAGAGGUUCAAGUACUUGAAAAUAGUGAUAAUGAAGAGAUCUCGAUAAGUUAUGUUACUUCAAGAAAAAGAUGGAACUGGAAAAAUGUAGUUGUCGACAACAAUUUUGCUUAUAAUGUUGCUAUUGAAAUAACAAAAGAAAAUGAGGAUCCUGAGCCUAAAUCUAAUGAGGUAUGUAGAAAUAGAAAAGAUUGGCCAAAAUGGAAAGACACAAUUCAAGUAGAAUUGAAUUCACUUUCUAAACGUAAGGUUUUUGGACAUGUAGUCCAAACACUUAAAGAUGUAAAGCCGGUAGGAUAUAAAUUGGUAUUUGUCCGAAAAACGAAAUGAGAAAAAUGAAGUUGUAAGAUAUAAGGCACGACUUGUACCACAAGGAUUUCCGCAAAGACACGACAUGUUGGAAAAUUAGGUUUGAAAAAUGCAGCGGAACAUAAGUUUAAGGGAAAAACCAAAGUUUUAAUUUUUUUUUUCCAAAAAUAAGAACUUGGUUCUGAUAUCUAAUAUAAUAAGCACUUAAUCAAAAUUAUACCUUUUUGAUUCGUCUAGGAUGAACGCCUUGACCGAGUAGUCUUCUCCGCUAUCCUCAAGCUUAUGUCUACUGAGUGUUGGCUCGCUUUGAAUAAAAAAAUCACAAAAUUACCAGCUGGAUUAUUUGUAAUUUCUCUAAACUUCUAGGUCAAGUUGUAAAUAGGAAAAAUAUCUCUAAAAAUCUUCUAAAAUAAUUUUUUUAGAAAAUUUUCUCUCUACAACUUUCUCUUAAAUUCAAGUAUGUAAAAAAUAAUGACCCAUGACUCUCUUUAUACAAGGAGAGUUUAGAGAGUUCAACUAUGAUUAAACUUAAUCACUUCAAUAUUAAAUUAAUAUAAUACUUAUCAAGAUAAAUAUUAGAUUAAAAUUAAUAUUAAAUCUAUUAUAUUAAUAGAAUAUUUAUCUAUAAAAUAAAUAUUAAAUUAAAUUUAAUAUUAAGAUAAUCACUUUAAUAUUAAAUUAAUAAAAUACUAUUAAGAUAAGUAUUAAAUUAAAUUUAAUAUUAAAUAUAUUAAAAUAAUAUUACUUUUGAAAUAGUUAAUCUGAAACCGAAUUAUUUGAUAGAGUCCUAGUAGGAGUGUGAUUCCUCCACUACUCAACUGCCGAAUGACCAACCGCUGGCCACCAGAAUGCUGUCGUCGACAUCAUCGUGUUCAGUGGUGCCAUCGUAGGUGUGACACCCUCACGGUACCUUAAGCUAGUUUGGUUGUUGCCGGUUCGAUCUGGGCCAAUUUUUAGGUCUCGAUUUUGGGUUAUCAGGCCCAUUUUUUUAUCUCAAGUCCAAUUUUCAAAUUCAAUUACCCAUUGAGCCAAAAUAAUUUAAAAAAUUAUCAUUUUAAUUUUAAUUAAUUUGAUUAAUUUAAUUUUACUUGAUCAAAAUUAAUUUUCCCAAAGAUCACUAAGAUUUUUUAAUUAAUUUUUCAAGAAAAUUCUUUAAUCAAAUUUUCUAGUUGAACAAUUCUCACGAUUGCUUAAUUUAAUCCUACAUCGAAUACAUCGACUAAAUUAAAUUAUUUCAAAAGUUGUAGAAUUUUCUUCUGAUUCAAAUGCAGUCUGAUCAAAUUUUUGUUGAGCUAGCGAAGGGACCAAUCAGAUAUAUACAAUUAGGCUCGAGUAAUUGCAAUUAUGUCUAGAAGCAUCAUUCUGAUAAUUCACAAUUUACUUAAUUAUAGAGUCAGCCCACAAGAAGUACCAUGAUUGAAAACUCCUUAUUGUAUACUCUUUACAAAAGCAAUUCAUCCAAUUGCUUUGUCCAAUGAUCUCGUCAUGUGUGUGUUACCCUCAUAUGAUAUCCUUGAUUCAUUUGAGUUAAAUUCGUUCACUUAAUACAAUCCUCUUUUAUCUCAUUGUCACCAUUGUAUCUUCCUAAUUAUUAAAUGAUCACUGUCAACAAAUGACUGUUACAAAUUGUUUGUUCGAGAAAAAGCAACCUGUGGCCAUGUUCCAUAUUUAUCAAUCCAUACAAUACCAAUAAGAGGAUACCGUUAACUCUUUAAUUAAGCUAUGAACUCCAUUGUUGCUAGUAAAAUCAUUUUAUACACAAGUUAUGUACCCAACAUACUAGCUAUGGGCUCGAUUAUCUUUUGAGUAUAAGCCUCCAUUUAUAUCAAAUCACAUAAGUUACAUACGCAUGGUCAAUGACUAACUCAGGAUUUAGGUAAAUCAAACCAUGAACGUCACAAGUGAAUUAAUUCACAAGUGGAUUCAGAAUUAAUUCAACUUAGGUCUAGUUCAAUGUAUCAUUCUUCCAAUGAAUACAUCUAUGUCUCUACCCGUGGAGUCAACUGCUCUGAUAGCCAAGACUAGCCAUCUCCCCAAUUGGAAUUGUAGACAACAUAAUAAUCUGUCUAAAUAUUUGAAUAAAAUGUUCACUUUGAUUCUCUUUCAGGGUUACAGACUCGUUUAGAUUACCUAUUGAAGUAAGUUGUCUUUCUCGCAAUGUAAAUAUUAUUACAGUGCCACUUAUCAUUAAUUUGAACUUAGACAAUCAAUGAGCCAAUAUUUUCUUGUCAAAAUUUUGCUAUGCAUGCAAAACAUGAAAGACAAAAACAUAAAAGAUAUAAUCAUGAAAUGUGAAAUUAACUUUAUUUAUUUAUUUAUUCAUCGUUCAAAUACAUAGAAAGUAGUUACAUGUUUACUACAAUAUGGACACAUCUCCUAACACAACAUUGAUUACAAAGAGACAUAUUCUCCUGUGGUGGAUGCAAUCAUAUUUAGAUAUCUAAUUAGUCUAGCAGUACGUGAAAAAUUUGUGUCUAAUGGAUGUUGUUAGACUCUAUUUGUAUGGUACAGUUGAUCUUGAAAUUUAUAUGAAAAUCCUUGAAGAAUUUAAAAUCCCAAAAGGAUAUAGAGUUUUUUUUGGACAUUUUCUUGAUUAGAUUAAAGAAAAGUUUAUAUGGAUUAAAAUAAUCUGGAUAUAAGUGGUACAAUUGUCUUAGUGAAUAUUUGUUAAAAGAAUGUUAUAAAAAGGAUCCAAUUUGUCCAUGUGUUUUUAUAAAAAGGUUGGGAUCAAAUUUUGUGAUAAUUGUUGUUUAAGUUGAUGAUCUAAAUAUUAUUGGAACUCCUAAAGAGCUUCAAAAUGAAAUAAAUUAUUUAAAGAAAGAAUUUGAGAUGAAAGAUCUUGGAAAAACGAAGUCUUCUCUUGGCUUGUAGAUCAAGCAGUUAAAAGAUGAAAUUCAUGUUCAUUAGUCAACUUAUACAAAAAGGUCUUAAAGAAAUCUUACAUGGAUAAAUCACUUCCAUUGAGUACCCUGAUGGUUGUAUGAUCGUUAGAUGUGAAUAAAGAUCAAUAUUACCAUAUCUAAAUGCCAUAAGGGCAUUGAUGUAUCUUGCAAACAACACAAGACUUGAUAUAGCUUUCACUAUAAACUUAUUAGUAAGGUUUAGUUUUUCUCCGACACGUAGACAUUAAAAUGCAUUGACUCAAAGAUGUAAUGUGAUGUUGUUAUUAAGGGGAGUCAAAUACACGUUGCACUCUUUUUAUUUAACCAAGGUUUUGUCCCACUGGGUUUUCCUGGUAAAAGAUUUUAACGAGACAACUUGUAAUUGGAGAUUUUGAACUCUUUUUCCUUCAUUAGGUUUUUAUCCCACAUGGUUUUUCUUAAUAAGGUUUUAAUGAGGCACACUUUCAUUGAUGGACAUCCAAGAGGAGUGUUGUAAAAUGAAUAUCUAUAUAACUCCCAUAACCCUGAAUAAUUCAUUUUCUUGUAACUCAUUGAUGUAUUGUGCAAACAACACAAGACCUGCUAUAGCUUUCAUUGUAAACUUGUUAGCAAGAUUUAGUUAUUCUCCAACGUGUAGACAUUAGAACGCGUCAACUCAAAGAUAUAAUGUAAUAUUGUUAUUAAGAAGAGUCAAACAUGCGUUGCACUCUUUUAUUUAACCAAGGUUUUGUCCCACUGUGUUUUCCUGGUAAAGGAUUUUAACGAGACAACUUGUAAUAGGAGAUUUUGAAAUUUUUUCCUUCAUUAGGUUUUUAGCCCACAUGGUUUUUCCUAAUAAGGUUUUAACGAGACACGCUUUCAUUGAUGGGCAUCCAAUGAGGAGUGUUGCAAAAUAGAUGUCCAUAUAACUCUCAUAAUCUCGAAGAAUUCAUUUUCUUGUAACUUUUAUAACCCCUAAAAAUUUAUAUAGUACAUUAAUUAUAUGUUUGUAACCUAAUGAUUGAGGCCCUAUAAAUAGAAGACAUGUAUAAGCUUUUUGAAUCCAAAGUAAAAGCUAAAACAUCUUUUCAUUUUUCUAUUCUUCUCUCUUGUUCAUUCUAUAAUUCUUUUUGUUUUAUAAUAAUUUUCAAAUUAUAAUAUGUUUUUAAAUUAAUACAAUAUAAUCUUAAAAUUGUAAUAACUAGAUUUUACACCUCACUUUGCUUAGGAUGUCAACUGUUAAUUAUAAAUAAAUUUAUCUUAUAAUUAUAUUAAAUAAUUAUUAUAUUUUAAUAUUUAUACAAAUAAAUUUAGAAAUAUAUUCAAAUGAAAUACAAUAAACUGAGAAAUCAAAAACUAAAAUAAUAGUAUAAUUUGUCAAACCCCUUUAAAUAUUUCUAAUGGAUCCAAAAAAUAAAUAAAUUAAAUAAUACAAAUAAACUCCCAAGUGAUACAAAUACAAGAAAAAAGUACAAUCUUGAGAGAGAGGGGGGGAGAGAGGGGGGGUGAGGGAGGGAGAGGGAGAGAGAGGAAGGAGGGAGGGAGAGAGAGGGGGAGAGAUGGAUAGAAUAGGAAAGCGGGAGAGGGAGAGAGAGGGAGGGAGGGGGAGAGGGAGAGUAAGGGAGAGGGUGGAAGAGGGGGGAAGGAGAGAGAUGUUCCUUAUCCAAAUGCUUAAUGUUUUUAACAUAAAAUUGAUACAACCAUUAUACUUUAAUAUUUUAAAAAUUGUUAUUUAAUUUAAAUAUAAUAUUUAUUUGUUAAAAUUUUGGUACAAUAUUUGAAUAUGUAAAUUUAAAUAUUUUAUUUUUCAUUAAAAUUUGAAUAUAUAAUCAAAAUUGCACCAAUAUUUAAAAUUUGGAAAAAGAAAAAAUACUUAGAAAUUGUAAAAUUUGAAAAACUAAAAGAUACUUAGAAAUUGUAUAAGUUAAAAAUGCUUUUCUUUUAAAUGUUAUACUUAAUUGAGAAAUUGUGUUGAUUAUACUUAUUUUACGGGCAUUAGUUUAAUAAAUUUAAGAGAAUAUAAAGCCAAUUUUAGAUCUUAGUUACUUCAAGGGCAUUGAUUUAAUAAAUUAUAUUUUUUAUAGAAAAUUAAGAAAAUAAUAGUAACAAGCAAAACGUAGAUGAAAAGUACGGGAUAAAUUUUCUCAUAUUCCAAUUUCAUUUACAAGGAGUUUUAUUUGUAAGCUCAUUUACAUUCAAUGAAAGCCUCGUUUAGGAAUGCUUUUCAAAGUGCUUUUGAGAAAAAAAACCACUUUUGGGGAGAAACUAAAAUUUUUAGCUUCUGAAAAAAGUGCUUUUGGGCCAAUUUUUGGCUUGGGAGAAGUAUGUUUUCUCUCAAAAAGCAGCAUGUUUAGGAAUGUUUUUAUCCUAAAAGUGUUUUUUGUCUCAAAAGUGAUUCUUAGAAGUAAUACUAAACUGGCAAGAAGUCUAAGUAAAUGAGCAUUCUUAAUUGUUUCAUUGAAACAUCUAAGUUACUCUCACAUUUAUAAACGAACUAGAGAUUUUAUCCCGUCACUUUAACAAGGGUUUAAUGAGGUUAUAGACAUCUAUUAUUUAUCUAUUUACAACACUCCUCCUUAGAUGUCUAUUAAAAAAAGUGCCUCAUGAAAACCUUCAUUUGGAAAAAUCUCAUGGAAUAAAAACCUAAUGAAGUAUAAAAAGCACACAAUCUCUCAUUGUGCGUUGCCUAAUUAAAAACCUUUACCAAAAAAACUCAAUGGGGCAAAACCUUGGUUAAAGGAAAAGAGCACAACAUAUUUUGGACUUCCCCUAAUGAUUAUGUCACUUAACAUUUUUUAGGCAGUGCAUUCCAAUUUUAUAUAUCAGCCUUUCAAAUGUAGUGGUUGUUAAUGUCUUAAUAAACAAAUAUGCUAAAUUUCCACUAGAACGAAGUUGUUGAACUGCAAUAUCACCUUUCUUCUUUAGAUUAUGAGUGAAGAAUACCUUUGGUGAAAUAUAUUUUGUUCUAUCUCCUUUAUGUAUCCUCCCUUUAAUUGAGCUAUACACUUUGUUGACACCUUUUCUUGUAGAGGAAAAUUGCACAUCUUUUGGAUAUGUUGAGUCAUUAGCCUUAGCUGAACACACUCUCAGCUAACCUCAUGUGUUGCAAUUAUUUAUGCAUGAUUUGAAGAGACAUCGAUUAAUGUUUAUUUUUUUAAUGCAAUAAUAUGGUUGUACUGUAACACCCUAAUACCCGACUCAAUCGUUGGGUCUGAGCUACAAGAUGUCACAUUCGUUGUCAGAGUAACUAUGAUCAUUUAUAUUCAAUUUAAUACUAUUAAACAUUCAAAUAUGAGUAACACAUGUGUAUAAUAUGACAUGUAAUCAUUUCUGGGUCUUACACGAGCUUAGAAAAUCUCUUUUGCUAACCUGAGGUCGAAUUAGGACCAAAUUGUAAAAAAUUCAAAGUAUUGGGUUGGCAUCGCAACUACGGGGGUUCUUCAUUGUGACCCAACAUACUGGCUAUUGGAUCUGGUGCCCUAACUGUAGUAUUUUCGUCUAUGUAUACUUGUAAUUUUUUCGAAUAGAUAGGUUAAUAAAAUAAUUCGUGGAUUACAUAAAUAUACCUUGUAUAAUGUCCUCAUGUGCUUUUUGCAUGCAAAGCAAAAUAGAAGGAAAUAUUGACUCACUAGUUGUCUAAUGUUUAAACUAAUACUAACCGGUAUUACGUGGUCAGAUCAUAAUAUGAAAAGACAUCUUGUAUUAGUAGAUGAACCUAAACAUGUCCUUAGUCUAAUUGGAAAUGAGCAAACCAAUUGGAAGACUAAUAUGUCAUAUAUCAAGUCUAAUUAGGGAGAUGCCUUGUCUUGGACAUCAGAGCAGAUGACUCCCAAAAUAUGGAGACAUAGAUGUGACUGACUGGAUUGACAAUACAUUGAACUAGAACCAAGAAAAAUAGAUCUUGAAUCCAUUAUGGAUUUAUUCACUUGUGACAUUCAAAGUGUGGCAAACCUAAAUCCUAAAUGGAUGAUGGACUGUAUAUGCGUGAUUCGUAUAUUUUGAUGUAAGUAAAAGCUUGAGUUCAAAUAGAUAAGGAACUGAAAGUUGGUGUGUUGGGUAUAUGGCUUCUGCAAUAUGUAGUGUCAUUCACAAUAGUGGAAUUCAUAGCCUGAGAUAUGGGUAAAUGAUAUAUUUUCAUUGGCUUUACAUGGUAGAUGAAAAGUAAACAUGGCUAUAGGUCGUUCUUCUUUGUGAUGAAUGUUUUGAUUACUAUUUGAUAUUAAUUGACUUUUCAUGAAGGAAGAUGUAAUGGUUACGAUGAGAUAAAAUAGGAUCAUAUUAGGAGAGCAGAUUUAUCCCAACGAUUUUCAGAAUAGCCUAUGAGGGUAACACACUUAUGACAAGGUCAUUAGAUGAGCAUCGAUCGAGUUGCUUUCGUAACGAUAUGCCAUUAGGGAGAGCUUAGUCAUGAUACUAUAGUAGAAUGACUUCAUGAUAAAAUGAGUUUAUAAUUAAUAGGUGAAAAGAUGAAAAUUAUAAAUCAUUUGAGCCCUAAUCGCAUAUGUCCAAUCAUUUGAGCCCUAAUCAUAAAUGAAUUGCAUGUUGAAUCAAAUAAAUAGAAAUGGAUAGAAAUGAUAAAGUUAAAGAAAUGGGAAACAAUUGGAAAUGAAUGACGUUUUCUCUAAAUGAAAAUGACCUGAAAAUAAAUUUAUGAUUUUUUGAACUAUCAUUUAAUUAAUUAAAUAAUUGGAGUUCAAAAUUUGAAAUAAAUUAAUUGGUAAUAAUGAAUUCGUUGAAUGUAGAAAUAUGAAAUAUAUUUUCUCAUAGAUUCUUUUACGGUAAAGUCAUUAUGAUUUUAAUGGAAUUAGAAUUGGGUUGAAAAAAUUAUUUAAUUGGGAAAUUAAUUAAUAUUUAUUUUGGAAAUAAAAAAAAGUAUUGGGUUGGAUUGUAUUAUAAAGUACUGGUUAAAAGCCUAGGAAAUACUUAUAAUUGGACCCAAUAUGGGAGAGGUUGAUCUGUCGUAAUUUGAUAUGUCAAAUUAGGCUCCCUAUUACACUUAACGAGCUUGUUUCCAAGCACUUUAGGUGUUUUUGUUAUGUUUUUACUUAAUUUUUGUUAUUAGCUUUAAUAAGUGUGUUAGUGUGCUUUUAUCACUUUUGAGGCCGAAAAUGGCCAAUUAUGCCAUCGAGGACCUAAUGGUUGGAUGAUUGUUGUAGGGAGUUACCGGAGGCCAGAACGUGAGCAGAAACAUCACCUAGAAGGAAUGUUAUCGCGAUAUCUAAUUCUAGAAGUCGUGAUACAUCCAACAAUUCUGAAUUGAAGAGGAACAAGGCUUUUCCUAGGGGUAUCGCAAUCCCAGAUGUGGGUAUCGCAAUAACAGCUCCCAAGGACUCCCCCAUUCCAAGACUAUCAAGGAUAUCGCGAUAUUAGGCCCUGGGUAUUGUGAUAUCACUUUUGAAGGGAGACAAAAUAUGACUAGAAGAGUAAUCCUUGUCCAACAUGUCCCUAGUAAAAUACACACGCUUAAAGGCAAAUUGUUUAACGAAAUUGGGUCGAUAUUUGCUAAAAAAUGCCAAAAUAUUGGUUGGAGAGAGAGAGACACUUAGACACUAGACUUAAAAUAGUUUUCUCUUGGUUUUCUCUUAAUCUUCUUUACGGUUUUGUUUUCUCCAUAGCUGUAGAAAUUAGUUUGCUGCAAUUUUUUUGUUUUUCCAGCAUUUUCUUAGGUAGUUAAGUUAGUUAUUACUGUAGCUGAGGUUUAUUUGCAAGUUUAGCACUUUAAAAUUUGUUGUAAUCAAACUUUAGUCUUUAGUUUAAUGCUACUUCAGUUUACUUUCAUCCAUUAAAAAUCGCAUCUUAUCGUUCUGACUUAUUUACUUUGCUGCUAGUUGCUUAUAUUUCAACUCUUUCCAAAAAAAAAAUCACAUCUUUCAUCUUUUAUUUAAGUUUUAUGUCAAUGUCUUUCAUGUUUUCUUCUUUUUUGUUUGUUAGUUUAUAAAUGGUAAUGAGUAGCUAAAUAUUUAGGGGUUGGUUGAUGAAAAUGUUGGGUAAUUGAUUUUUGGGUUUGGGGACUAAAUUGAAAAAUUAGACUAAAUUAAAUAGACUUAAAAACUUAGGAUUAACGUCACUGAGGGAAAAUCAAGAUAAGUGAGAAAAGAGAAGAUCUUUUUUGGAACCAAAUCGAUAAACCCCGGGUUAGUUAGUGAGGUCAAGAGAUAAAACCAGACUAAUUUAUCUAAUUUGGUAAAGUUGAGGCUGAGAGGUAAAAUGGAGCCAAUUUAGGAGUAAUAGGAAUUUAGAUCCCUAAUUCAGAGGUCAACCAACCAUUCUUUAUUAUCAUAUUUACUCGUAUUUGAUAGUUGCAUAGUUUUCUUUCUUUAUAAUUUAGUCCUUUUCUAUUUUAGGUAAUUUGUUAGUUUUAAUCAACUUCAUUUAUGGUUUUUCAUGCUAUAGUGUAGAGCGAGUAAUUAUUUAGACUCUUUAAUUGAAUAUUUGUAGCUAGAAUUCACUUAAUCGCUGACUCAUUUGGAUUCGAUCCUCAGAGCACUCCUGUACCCCAUUGUUCUUUUAGUGUUGAUUUCUCUCGUAGUCUACGAGGACGACAAGAGACGGUCAAGUUGUUGACGCCAUUGUCAGGGAGUUGGUGCUAGAUUAAGUGAUUUUAGUUUUAUUGCAUGCCUUUAGGGAGAUAAGUAAUCAAAGCUUGAGAUAUAGAUACAACUCUUUUUUUUAUUCUUCGUUUGUUAUUUUAUUUGCAAAGUUUACUGAUUUUGUGAAUUUCUUUUACUUGCAAGAGGUAGUGUAUGCCUCAGACCCGUAACAAGAUAGUACCAUUCAAAUUGAAACUAGAAAGAAUCCUAACACACGUUCAAUGAGGACAAGUUUCAAGAGGAGCCCAACCUCCACUAGUAAACCCACCACUAGACAACCCUAGAGUAGAGGAACCACCACCAACACCAGACCAAAGGCUUGUUCGAAAAAAGUGUUUGAAAAACGCAGCAAAAAAUAAAUUUAGGAAAAAUAGAGUUUUAAUUUUUUUUUCAAAAUAGGAUCUUGGUUUUGAUAUCUAAAGUAAUAAAUUCUUAAUCAAAAUUGUACCUUCAUGAUUCGCCUAGGAUAAGCGCUUCGAUCGAGUAGUCUUCUCUUCUACCCUCAAGCUCACGUCUGUUAAGUGUGGGCUCACUUCAAAUUAGAAAAUUUUUCACAAGAAUUACCAGUGGGUUCAUUUUGCAAUUUCUCUAAAAUUUUGGAUCAAGUUGUAAAUCAAAAAAAUAUCUCUAGAAAUUUUCUAAAAUAAUCUCUUUAGAGAAUUUUCUCUCUACAACUUUCUCUUAAAUUCAAGUGUGUGUAAAAUAAUGACUCAAGUCUCUCUUUAUAUAGGGAGAGUUUAGAGAGUUCAACCAUGAUUAAACUUAAUCAAUUUAAUAUUAAAUUAUAAAAUACUAUUAAAAUAAGUAUUAAAUUAAAUUUAAUAUUAAACUAUUAAAAUAAUAUUUUUGUUGGAAUAAUUAAUCUGAAAUCAAAUUUGUUGGUAGAGUCUCAAUAUGAGUGUAACUCUUCCACUGCUUAACCACCGAACACCAACUGUCGUUAGCCACCAGAAUGCCACCGUCACAGCCAUGUCUGAUGAUGUAGGCAUGACACCUGUACGGCACCCUAAGCUAGUUCGGUUGCUAUAGGUUCGAUCCUGGUCAAUGACAACCUGACUAGUCUGGCCUAGCCAUUAGUUGGACUAUUAGCUCGAUUUCACAUAUCAAGCCCGGAUCGACAAAUUUUUGGGUCUUGGUAUCAAUUUUGGGCUCCCGGGCCCAAUCUACAAUCGAGGUCCAAUUUUCAAGUUUAAUAACCAAUUAGGCCAAUUUUCUGACUUGAAAAUUAAUUUCUAAAAAUAUCAUAUUAAUUUUAAUUAAUUUGAUUAAUUUAGUUUUACAUGAUGAAAAUUAAUUUUUCCAAAAAUCAUUUAGAUUUUUCAAGAAAAUUCUCUAAUUAAAUUAUCUAGUUGAACAAUUCUCACAACCACCUAAUUUAAUUCCACAUCGAAUAAAUCGACUUAGUUAAAUUAUUUCCAAAUGCAUAGAAUUUUCUUCUGAUUCAAAUGCAGUUCGAUUGAACUUUUGUUGAGCUAGCGAAACGACCAAUCGAACAUAUACAAAUAGGGUCUAGUAAUUGCAAUUAUGUCUAGAAGCAUUGUUCUGAUUAUUCACAAUUACUUAAUCAUGGAGUCAGCCCAUAAGAAUUACCAUGAUUGAAAACUCCUUAUUGUAUACUCUUUACGAAAACAAUUCAUCCAACUAUUUUGUCCAAUGACCUCGUCUUGUGUGUGUUACCAUUGUGUCUUCUUAAUGAUUAAUAUGAUCAUUGUCAAUAAAUGAAUGUGAUAAAUUUCUCAUUCGAGAACAAGCAACCCGUGGCCACAUCCCAUAUCAAUCCACACAAUGCCAAUGGGAAGAUAUAAUUAAGUCUUUAAUUGAGCUAUGAAUUCCACUGUUACUAUUAAAGCCAUACCAUACACAAGUCAUGUACCUAACAUACCAGCUAUGGGCUCGAUCAUCUUUAGAGCAAAAGCCUUCACUUAUAUCAAAACACAUGAGUUGCAUACGCAUGGUCAGUGACUAACCCAAGAUUUAGGUAAAUCACAUCAUGUGUAACACCCUAUACCUGGCCUGGUCGCCAAGCAUAGAUACGAGAUGCUACACCACCAUCUCGUCUCAUGUACAUCAAGUGAGAAACUAGAACCAAGCAAAAC
rnacentral:lncRNA from 1 species